rnacentral:lncRNA from 1 species
CUUCGUAGGCUAAUGCAUUGGCCCUUUUCGACCCGUUUUGGGGCGAAAACAAAAACUGACUCCCGGGCAUAUUUUUUUCGGCCUUUAUGGGCAAAGAACUUUAAUGGCGCUCAGAAUGAGGCCACCCAGUAGUUAGGUGUGAAUUUUCGAGACCUCUGGCACCGUUCUAAGAUGGGUCCUCUCUUCGUAGGCUAAUGCAUUGGCCCUUUUCGACCCGUUUUGGGGCGAAAACAAAAACUGACUCCGGGCAUAUUUUUUUCGGCCUUUAUGGGCAAAGAACUUUAAUGCCGCUCAGAAUGAGGCCACCAGUAGUUAGGUGUGAAUUUUCGAGACCUCUGGCACCGUUCUAAGAUGGGUCCUCUCUUUGUAGGCUAAUGCAUUGGCUCCUUUCGACCCGUUUUGGGGCGAAAACAAAACCUGACUCCCGGGCAUAUUUUUUUCGGCUUAAUGGGCAAAGAACUUUAAUGCCGCUCAGAAUGAGGCACCCAGUAGUUAGGUGUGAAUUUUCGAGACCUCUGCACCGUUCUAAGAUGGGUCCUCUCUUCGUAGGCUAAUGCGUUGGCCCUUUUUGACCCGUUUUGGAACGAAAACAAAAACUGACUCCCGGGCAUAUUUUUUUCGGCCUUUAUGGGCAAAGAACUUUGAAUGCCGCUCAGAAUGAGGCCACCCAGUAGUUAGGUGUGAAUUUUCGGAGACCCUUCUUGGCACCCGUUCUAAGAUGGUUUCGUAGGCUAAUGCAUUGGCCCUUUUUGACCCGUUUUGGGGCGAAAACAAAAACUGACUCCCGGGCAUAUUUUUUUCGGCCUUUAUGGGCAGAGAACUUUAAUACCGCUCAAAAUGAGGCCACCCAGUAGUUAGGUGUGAAUUUUCGAGACCUUUGGCACCGUUCUAAGAUGGGUCCUCUCUUCGUAGGCUAAUGCAUUGGCCCUUUUUGACCCGUUUUGGGGCGAAAACAAAAACUGACUCCCGGGCAUAUUUUUUUCGGCCUUUAUGGGCAGAGAACUUUAAUACCGCUCAAAAUGAGGCCACCCAGUAGUUAGGUGUGAAUUUUCGAGACCUUUGGCACCGUUCUAAGAUGGGUCCUCUCUUCGUAGGCUAAUGCAUUGGCCCUUUUUGACCCGUUUUGGGGCGAAAACAAAAACUGACUCCCGGGCAUAUUUUUUUCGGCCUUUAUGGGCAGAGAACUUUAAUACCGCUCAAAAUGAGGCCACCCAGUAGUUAGGUGUGAAUUUUCGAGACCUUUGGCACCGUUCUAAGAUGGGUCCUCUCUUCGUAGGCUAAUGCAUUGGCCCUUUUUGACCCGUUUUGGGGCGAAAACAAAAACUGACUCCCGGGCAUAUUUUUUUCGGCCUUUAUGGGCAGAGAACUUUAAUACCGCUCGAAAUGAGGCCACCCAGUAGUUAGGUGUGAAUUUUCGAGACCUUUGGCACCGUUCUAAGAUGGGUCCUCUCUUCGUAGGCUAAUGCAUUGGCCCUUUUUGACCCGUUUUGGGGCGAAAACAAAAACUGACUCCCGGGCAUAUUUUUUUCGGCCUUUAUGGGCAGAGAACUUUAAUACCGCUCAAAAUGAGGCCACCCAGUAGUUAGGUGUGAAUUUUCGAGACCUUUGGCACCGUUCUAAGAUGGGUCCUCUCUUCGUAGGCUAAUGCAUUGGCCCUUUUUGACCCGUUUUGGGCGAAAACAAAAACUGACUCCCGGGCAUAUUUUUUUCGGCCUUUAUGGGCAGAGAACUUUAAUACCGCUCAAAAUGAGGCCACCCAGUAGUUAGGUGUGAAUUUUCGAGACCUUUGGCACCGUUCUAAGAUGGGUCCUCUCUUCGUAGGCUAAUGCAUUGGCCCUUUUUGACCCGUUUUGGGGCGAAAACAAAAACUGACUCCCGGGCAUAUUUUUUUCGGCCUUUAUGGGCAGAGAACUUUAAUACCGCUCAAAAUGAGGCCACCCAGUAGUUAGGUGUGAAUUUUCGAGACCUUUGGCACCGUUCUAAGAUGGGUCCUCUCUUCGUAGGCUAAUGCAUUGGCCCUUUUUGGGGCGAAAACAAAAACUGACUCCCGGGCAUAUUUUUUUCGGCCUUUAUGGGCAGAGAACUUUAAUACCGCUCAAAAUGAGGCCACCCAGUAGUUAGGUGUGAAUUUUCGAGACCUUUGGCACCGUUCUAAGAUGGGUCCUCUCUUCGUAGGCUAAUGCAUUGGCCCUUUUUGACCCGUUUUGGGGCGAAAACAAAAACUGACUCCCGGCAUAUUUUUUUCGGCCUUUAUGGGCAGAGAACUUUAAUACCGCUCAAAAUGAGGCCACCCAGUAGUUAGGUGUGAAUUUUCGAGACCUUUGGCACCGUUCUAAGAUGGGUCCUCUCUUCGUAGGCUAAUGCAUUGGCCCUUUUUGACCCGUUUUGGCGAAAACAAAAACUGACUCCCGGGCAUAUUUUUUUCGGCCUUUAUGGGCAGAGAACUUUAAUACCGCUCGAAAUGAGGCCACCCAGUAGUUAGGUGUGAAUUUUCGAGACCUUUGGCACCGUUCUAAGAUGGGUCCUCUCUUCGUAGGCUAAUGCAUUGGCCCUUUUUGACCCGUUUUGGCGAAAACAAAAACUGACUCCCGGGCAUAUUUUUUUCGGCCUUUAUGGGCAGAGAACUUUAAUACCGCUCAAAAUGAGGCCACCCAGUAGUUAGGUGUGAAUUUUCGAGACCUUUGGCACCGUUCUAAGAUGGGUCCUCUCUUCGUAGGCUAAUGCAUUGGCCCUUUUUGACCCGUUUUGGGGCGAAAACAAAAACUGACUCCCGGGCAUAUUUUUUUCGGCCUUUAUGGGCAGAGAACUUUAAUACCGCUCAAAAUGAGGCCACCCAGUAGUUAGGUGUGAAUUUUCGAGACCUUUGGCACCGUUCUAAGAUGGGUCCUCUCUUCGUAGGCUAAUGCAUUGGCCCUUUUUGACCCGUUUUGGGGCGAAAACAAAAACUGACUCCCGGGCAUAUUUUUUUCGGCCUUUAUGGGCAGAGAACUUUAAUACCGCUCAAAAUGAGGCCACCCAGUAGUUAGGUGUGAAUUUUCGAGACCUUUGGCACCGUUCUAAGAUGGGUCCUCUCUUCGUAGGCUAAUGCAUUGGCCCUUUUUGACCCGUUUUGGGGCGAAAACAAAAACUGACUCCCGGGCAUAUUUUUUUCGGCCUUUAUGGGCAGAGAACUUUAAUACCGCUCAAAAUGAGGCCACCCAGUAGUUAGGUGUGAAUUUUCGAGACCUUUGGCACCGUUCUAAGAUGGGUCCUCUCUUCGUAGGCUAAUGCAUUGGCCCUUUUUGACCCGUUUUGGGGCGAAAACAAAAACUGACUCCCGGGCAUAUUUUUUUCGGCCUUUAUGGGCAGAGAACUUUAAUACCGCUCAAAAUGAGGCCACCCAGUAGUUAGGUGUGAAUUUUCGAGACCUUUGGCACCGUUCUAAGAUGGGUCCUCUCUUCGUAGGCUAAUGCAUUGGCCCUUUUUGACCCGUUUUGGGGCGAAAACAAAAACUGACUCCCGGGCAUAUUUUUUUCGGCCUUUAUGGGCAGAGAACUUUAAUACCGCUCAAAAUGAGGCCACCCAGUAGUUAGGUGUGAAUUUUCGAGACCUUUGGCACCGUUCUAAGAUGGGUCCUCUCUUCGUAGGCUAAUGCAUUGGCCCUUUUUGACCCGUUUUGGGGCGAAAACAAAAACUGACUCCCGGGCAUAUUUUUUUCGGCCUUUAUGGGCAGAGAACUUUAAUACCGCUCAAAAUGAGGCCACCCAGUAGUUAGGUGUGAAUUUUCGAGACCUUUGGCACCGUUCUAAGAUGGGUCCUCUCUUCGUAGGCUAAUGCAUUGGCCCUUUUUGACCCGUUUUGGGGCGAAAACAAAAACUGACUCCCGGGCAUAUUUUUUUCGGCCUUUAUGGGCAGAGAACUUUAAUACCGCUCAAAAUGAGGCCACCCAGUAGUUAGGUGUGAAUUUUCGAGACCUUUGGCACCGUUCUAAGAUGGGUCCUCUCUUCGUAGGCUAAUGCAUUGGCCCUUUUUGACCCGUUUUGGGGCGAAAACAAAAACUGACUCCCGGGCAUAUUUUUUUCGGCCUUUAUGGGCAGAGAACUUUAAUACCGCUCAAAAUGAGGCCACCCAGUAGUUAGGUGUGAAUUUUCGAGACCUUUGGCACCGUUCUAAGAUGGGUCCUCUCUUCGUAGGCUAAUGCAUUGGCCCUUUUUGACCCGUUUUGGGGCGAAAACAAAAACUGACUCCCGGGCAUAUUUUUUUCGGCCUUUAUGGGCAGAGAACUUUAAUACCGCUCAAAAUGAGGCCACCCAGUAGUUAGGUGUGAAUUUUCGAGACCUUUGGCACCGUUCUAAGAUGGGUCCUCUCUUCGUAGGCUAAUGCAUUGGCCCUUUUUGACCCGUUUUGGGGCGAAAACAAAAACUGACUCCCGGGCAUAUUUUUUUCGGCCUUUAUGGGCAGAGAACUUUAAUACCGCUCAAAAUGAGGCCACCCAGUAGUUAGGUGUGAAUUUUCGAGACCUUUGGCACCGUUCUAAGAUGGGUCCUCUCUUCGUAGGCUAAUGCAUUGGCCCUUUUUGACCCGUUUUGGGGCGAAAACAAAAACUGACUCCCGGGCAUAUUUUUUUCGGCCUUUAUGGGCAGAGAACUUUAAUACCGCUCAAAAUGAGGCCACCCAGUAGUUAGGUGUGAAUUUUCGAGACCUUUGGCACCGUUCUAAGAUGGGUCCUCUCUUCGUAGGCUAAUGCAUUGGCCCUUUUUGACCCGUUUUGGGGCGAAAACAAAAACUGACUCCCGGGCAUAUUUUUUUCGGCCUUUAUGGGCAGAGAACUUUAAUACCGCUCAAAAUGAGGCCACCCAGUAGUUAGGUGUGAAUUUUCGAGACCUUUGGCACCGUUCUAAGAUGGGUCCUCUCUUCGUAGGCUAAUGCAUUGGCCCUUUUUGACCCGUUUUGGGGCGAAAACAAAAACUGACUCCCGGGCAUAUUUUUUUCGGCCUUUAUGGGCAGAGAACUUUAAUACCGCUCAAAAUGAGGCCACCCAGUAGUUAGGUGUGAAUUUUCGAGACCUUUGGCACCGUUCUAAGAUGGGUCCUCUCUUCGUAGGCUAAUGCAUUGGCCCUUUUUGACCCGUUUUGGGGCGAAAACAAAAACUGACUCCCGGGCAUAUUUUUUUCGGCCUUUAUGGGCAGAGAACUUUAAUACCGCUCAAAAUGAGGCCACCCAGUAGUUAGGUGUGAAUUUUCGAGACCUUUGGCACCGUUCUAAGAUGGGUCCUCUCUUCGUAGGCUAAUGCAUUGGCCCUUUUUGACCCGUUUUGGGGCGAAAACAAAAACUGACUCCCGGGCAUAUUUUUUUCGGCCUUUAUGGGCAGAGAACUUUAAUACCGCUCAAAAUGAGGCCACCCAGUAGUUAGGUGUGAAUUUUCGAGACCUUUGGCACCGUUCUAAGAUGGGUCCUCUCUUCGUAGGCUAAUGCAUUGGCCCUUUUUGACCCGUUUUGGGGCGAAAACAAAAACUGACUCCCGGGCAUAUUUUUUUCGGCCUUUAUGGGCAGAGAACUUUAAUACCGCUCAAAAUGAGGCCACCCAGUAGUUAGGUGUGAAUUUUCGAGACCUUUGGCACCGUUCUAAGAUGGGUCCUCUCUUCGUAGGCUAAUGCAUUGGCCCUUUUUGACCCGUUUUGGGGCGAAAACAAAAACUGACUCCCGGGCAUAUUUUUUUCGGCCUUUAUGGGCAGAGAACUUUAAUACCGCUCAAAAUGAGGCCACCCAGUAGUUAGGUGUGAAUUUUCGAGACCUUUGGCACCGUUCUAAGAUGGGUCCUCUCUUCGUAGGCUAAUGCAUUGGCCCUUUUUGACCCGUUUUGGGGCGAAAACAAAAACUGACUCCCGGGCAUAUUUUUUUCGGCCUUUAUGGGCAGAGAACUUUAAUACCGCUCAAAAUGAGGCCACCCAGUAGUUAGGUGUGAAUUUUCGAGACCUUUGGCACCGUUCUAAGAUGGGUCCUCUCUUCGUAGGCUAAUGCAUUGGCCCUUUUUGACCCGUUUUGGGGCGAAAACAAAAACUGACUCCCGGGCAUAUUUUUUUCGGCCUUUAUGGGCAGAGAACUUUAAUACCGCUCAAAAUGAGGCCACCCAGUAGUUAGGUGUGAAUUUUCGAGACCUUUGGCACCGUUCUAAGAUGGGUCCUCUCUUCGUAGGCUAAUGCAUUGGCCCUUUUUGACCCGUUUUGGGGCGAAAACAAAAACUGACUCCCGGGCAUAUUUUUUUCGGCCUUUAUGGGCAGAGAACUUUAAUACCGCUCAAAAUGAGGCCACCCAGUAGUUAGGUGUGAAUUUUCGAGACCUUUGGCACCGUUCUAAGAUGGGUCCUCUCUUCGUAGGCUAAUGCAUUGGCCCUUUUUGACCCGUUUUGGGGCGAAAACAAAAACUGACUCCCGGGCAUAUUUUUUUCGGCCUUUAUGGGCAGAGAACUUUAAUACCGCUCAAAAUGAGGCCACCCAGUAGUUAGGUGUGAAUUUUCGAGACCUUUGGCACCGUUCUAAGAUGGGUCCUCUCUUCGUAGGCUAAUGCAUUGGCCCUUUUUGACCCGUUUUGGGGCGAAAACAAAAACUGACUCCCGGGCAUAUUUUUUUCGGCCUUUAUGGGCAGAGAACUUUAAUACCGCUCAAAAUGAGGCCACCCAGUAGUUAGGUGUGAAUUUUCGAGACCUUUGGCACCGUUCUAAGAUGGGUCCUCUCUUCGUAGGCUAAUGCAUUGGCCCUUUUUGACCCGUUUUGGGGCGAAAACAAAAACUGACUCCCGGGCAUAUUUUUUUCGGCCUUUAUGGGCAGAGAACUUUAAUACCGCUCAAAAUGAGGCCACCCAGUAGUUAGGUGUGAAUUUUCGAGACCUUUGGCACCGUUCUAAGAUGGGUCCUCUCUUCGUAGGCUAAUGCAUUGGCCCUUUUUGACCCGUUUUGGGGCGAAAACAAAAACUGACUCCCGGGCAUAUUUUUUUCGGCCUUUAUGGGCAGAGAACUUUAAUACCGCUCAAAAUGAGGCCACCCAGUAGUUAGGUGUGAAUUUUCGAGACCUUUGGCACCGUUCUAAGAUGGGUCCUCUCUUCGUAGGCUAAUGCAUUGGCCCUUUUUGACCCGUUUUGGGGCGAAAACAAAAACUGACUCCCGGGCAUAUUUUUUUCGGCCUUUAUGGGCAGAGAACUUUAAUACCGCUCAAAAUGAGGCCACCCAGUAGUUAGGUGUGAAUUUUCGAGACCUUUGGCACCGUUCUAAGAUGGGUCCUCUCUUCGUAGGCUAAUGCAUUGGCCCUUUUUGACCCGUUUUGGGGCGAAAACAAAAACUGACUCCCGGGCAUAUUUUUUUCGGCCUUUAUGGGCAGAGAACUUUAAUACCGCUCAAAAUGAGGCCACCCAGUAGUUAGGUGUGAAUUUUCGAGACCUUUGGCACCGUUCUAAGAUGGGUCCUCUCUUCGUAGGCUAAUGCAUUGGCCCUUUUUGACCCGUUUUGGGGCGAAAACAAAAACUGACUCCCGGGCAUAUUUUUUUCGGCCUUUAUGGGCAGAGAACUUUAAUACCGCUCAAAAUGAGGCCACCCAGUAGUUAGGUGUGAAUUUUCGAGACCUUUGGCACCGUUCUAAGAUGGGUCCUCUCUUCGUAGGCUAAUGCAUUGGCCCUUUUUGACCCGUUUUGGGGCGAAAACAAAAACUGACUCCCGGGCAUAUUUUUUUCGGCCUUUAUGGGCAGAGAACUUUAAUACCGCUCAAAAUGAGGCCACCCAGUAGUUAGGUGUGAAUUUUCGAGACCUUUGGCACCGUUCUAAGAUGGGUCCUCUCUUCGUAGGCUAAUGCAUUGGCCCUUUUUGACCCGUUUUGGGGCGAAAACAAAAACUGACUCCCGGGCAUAUUUUUUUCGGCCUUUAUGGGCAGAGAACUUUAAUACCGCUCAAAAUGAGGCCACCCAGUAGUUAGGUGUGAAUUUUCGAGACCUUUGGCACCGUUCUAAGAUGGGUCCUCUCUUCGUAGGCUAAUGCAUUGGCCCUUUUUGACCCGUUUUGGGGCGAAAACAAAAACUGACUCCCGGGCAUAUUUUUUUCGGCCUUUAUGGGCAGAGAACUUUAAUACCGCUCAAAAUGAGGCCACCCAGUAGUUAGGUGUGAAUUUUCGAGACCUUUGGCACCGUUCUAAGAUGGGUCCUCUCUUCGUAGGCUAAUGCAUUGGCCCUUUUUGACCCGUUUUGGGGCGAAAACAAAAACUGACUCCCGGGCAUAUUUUUUUCGGCCUUUAUGGGCAGAGAACUUUAAUACCGCUCAAAAUGAGGCCACCCAGUAGUUAGGUGUGAAUUUUCGAGACCUUUGGCACCGUUCUAAGAUGGGUCCUCUCUUCGUAGGCUAAUGCAUUGGCCCUUUUUGACCCGUUUUGGGGCGAAAACAAAAACUGACUCCCGGGCAUAUUUUUUUCGGCCUUUAUGGGCAGAGAACUUUAAUACCGCUCAAAAUGAGGCCACCCAGUAGUUAGGUGUGAAUUUUCGAGACCUUUGGCACCGUUCUAAGAUGGGUCCUCUCUUCGUAGGCUAAUGCAUUGGCCCUUUUUGACCCGUUUUGGGGCGAAAACAAAAACUGACUCCCGGGCAUAUUUUUUUCGGCCUUUAUGGGCAGAGAACUUUAAUACCGCUCAAAAUGAGGCCACCCAGUAGUUAGGUGUGAAUUUUCGAGACCUUUGGCACCGUUCUAAGAUGGGUCCUCUCUUCGUAGGCUAAUGCAUUGGCCCUUUUUGACCCGUUUUGGGGCGAAAACAAAAACUGACUCCCGGGCAUAUUUUUUUCGGCCUUUAUGGGCAGAGAACUUUAAUACCGCUCAAAAUGAGGCCACCCAGUAGUUAGGUGUGAAUUUUCGAGACCUUUGGCACCGUUCUAAGAUGGGUCCUCUCUUCGUAGGCUAAUGCAUUGGCCCUUUUUGACCCGUUUUGGGGCGAAAACAAAAACUGACUCCCGGGCAUAUUUUUUUCGGCCUUUAUGGGCAGAGAACUUUAAUACCGCUCAAAAUGAGGCCACCCAGUAGUUAGGUGUGAAUUUUCGAGACCUUUGGCACCGUUCUAAGAUGGGUCCUCUCUUCGUAGGCUAAUGCAUUGGCCCUUUUUGACCCGUUUUGGGGCGAAAACAAAAACUGACUCCCGGGCAUAUUUUUUUCGGCCUUUAUGGGCAGAGAACUUUAAUACCGCUCAAAAUGAGGCCACCCAGUAGUUAGGUGUGAAUUUUCGAGACCUUUGGCACCGUUCUAAGAUGGGUCCUCUCUUCGUAGGCUAAUGCAUUGGCCCUUUUUGACCCGUUUUGGGGCGAAAACAAAAACUGACUCCCGGGCAUAUUUUUUUCGGCCUUUAUGGGCAGAGAACUUUAAUACCGCUCAAAAUGAGGCCACCCAGUAGUUAGGUGUGAAUUUUCGAGACCUUUGGCACCGUUCUAAGAUGGGUCCUCUCUUCGUAGGCUAAUGCAUUGGCCCUUUUUGACCCGUUUUGGGGCGAAAACAAAAACUGACUCCCGGGCAUAUUUUUUUCGGCCUUUAUGGGCAGAGAACUUUAAUACCGCUCAAAAUGAGGCCACCCAGUAGUUAGGUGUGAAUUUUCGAGACCUUUGGCACCGUUCUAAGAUGGGUCCUCUCUUCGUAGGCUAAUGCAUUGGCCCUUUUUGACCCGUUUUGGGGCGAAAACAAAAACUGACUCCCGGGCAUAUUUUUUUCGGCCUUUAUGGGCAGAGAACUUUAAUACCGCUCAAAAUGAGGCCACCCAGUAGUUAGGUGUGAAUUUUCGAGACCUUUGGCACCGUUCUAAGAUGGGUCCUCUCUUCGUAGGCUAAUGCAUUGGCCCUUUUUGACCCGUUUUGGGGCGAAAACAAAAACUGACUCCCGGGCAUAUUUUUUUCGGCCUUUAUGGGCAGAGAACUUUAAUACCGCUCAAAAUGAGGCCACCCAGUAGUUAGGUGUGAAUUUUCGAGACCUUUGGCACCGUUCUAAGAUGGGUCCUCUCUUCGUAGGCUAAUGCAUUGGCCCUUUUUGACCCGUUUUGGGGCGAAAACAAAAACUGACUCCCGGGCAUAUUUUUUUCGGCCUUUAUGGGCAGAGAACUUUAAUACCGCUCAAAAUGAGGCCACCCAGUAGUUAGGUGUGAAUUUUCGAGACCUUUGGCACCGUUCUAAGAUGGGUCCUCUCUUCGUAGGCUAAUGCAUUGGCCCUUUUUGACCCGUUUUGGGGCGAAAACAAAAACUGACUCCCGGGCAUAUUUUUUUCGGCCUUUAUGGGCAGAGAACUUUAAUACCGCUCAAAAUGAGGCCACCCAGUAGUUAGGUGUGAAUUUUCGAGACCUUUGGCACCGUUCUAAGAUGGGUCCUCUCUUCGUAGGCUAAUGCAUUGGCCCUUUUUGACCCGUUUUGGGGCGAAAACAAAAACUGACUCCCGGGCAUAUUUUUUUCGGCCUUUAUGGGCAGAGAACUUUAAUACCGCUCAAAAUGAGGCCACCCAGUAGUUAGGUGUGAAUUUUCGAGACCUUUGGCACCGUUCUAAGAUGGGUCCUCUCUUCGUAGGCUAAUGCAUUGGCCCUUUUUGACCCGUUUUGGGGCGAAAACAAAAACUGACUCCCGGGCAUAUUUUUUUCGGCCUUUAUGGGCAGAGAACUUUAAUACCGCUCAAAAUGAGGCCACCCAGUAGUUAGGUGUGAAUUUUCGAGACCUUUGGCACCGUUCUAAGAUGGGUCCUCUCUUCGUAGGCUAAUGCAUUGGCCCUUUUUGACCCGUUUUGGGGCGAAAACAAAAACUGACUCCCGGGCAUAUUUUUUUCGGCCUUUAUGGGCAGAGAACUUUAAUACCGCUCAAAAUGAGGCCACCCAGUAGUUAGGUGUGAAUUUUCGAGACCUUUGGCACCGUUCUAAGAUGGGUCCUCUCUUCGUAGGCUAAUGCAUUGGCCCUUUUUGACCCGUUUUGGGGCGAAAACAAAAACUGACUCCCGGGCAUAUUUUUUUCGGCCUUUAUGGGCAGAGAACUUUAAUACCGCUCAAAAUGAGGCCACCCAGUAGUUAGGUGUGAAUUUUCGAGACCUUUGGCACCGUUCUAAGAUGGGUCCUCUCUUCGUAGGCUAAUGCAUUGGCCCUUUUUGACCCGUUUUGGGGCGAAAACAAAAACUGACUCCCGGGCAUAUUUUUUUCGGCCUUUAUGGGCAGAGAACUUUAAUACCGCUCAAAAUGAGGCCACCCAGUAGUUAGGUGUGAAUUUUCGAGACCUUUGGCACCGUUCUAAGAUGGGUCCUCUCUUCGUAGGCUAAUGCAUUGGCCCUUUUUGACCCGUUUUGGGGCGAAAACAAAAACUGACUCCCGGGCAUAUUUUUUUCGGCCUUUAUGGGCAGAGAACUUUAAUACCGCUCAAAAUGAGGCCACCCAGUAGUUAGGUGUGAAUUUUCGAGACCUUUGGCACCGUUCUAAGAUGGGUCCUCUCUUCGUAGGCUAAUGCAUUGGCCCUUUUUGACCCGUUUUGGGGCGAAAACAAAAACUGACUCCCGGGCAUAUUUUUUUCGGCCUUUAUGGGCAGAGAACUUUAAUACCGCUCAAAAUGAGGCCACCCAGUAGUUAGGUGUGAAUUUUCGAGACCUUUGGCACCGUUCUAAGAUGGGUCCUCUCUUCGUAGGCUAAUGCAUUGGCCCUUUUUGACCCGUUUUGGGGCGAAAACAAAAACUGACUCCCGGGCAUAUUUUUUCGGCCUUUAUGGGCAGAGAACUUUAAUACCGCUCAAAAUGAGGCCACCCAGUAGUUAGGUGUGAAUUUUCGAGACCUUUGGCACCGUUCUAAGAUGGGUCCUCUCUUCGUAGGCUAAUGCAUUGGCCCUUUUUGACCCGUUUUGGGGCGAAAACAAAAACUGACUCCCGGGCAUAUUUUUUUCGGCCUUUAUGGGCAGAGAACUUUAAUACCGCUCAAAAUGAGGCCACCCAGUAGUUAGGUGUGAAUUUUCGAGACCUUUGGCACCGUUCUAAGAUGGGUCCUCUCUUCGUAGGCUAAUGCAUUGGCCCUUUUUCCCACAAAAAGCGCUCGGAGAUGCCCAGACUCAGUUUUUAUUUUCGUCCCAAUACUUUUCUUCCCAUGGUUUAGUUGUGUUUCUUUGAUCUUGUGCAACCUAUUUAGACCGAUGAUAGCCCGCGGAUGGGUGUGGAAACCCAUCUAUAUUGCACCCAGUAGGACACAGAAAAAAAGCCCAGGGCCUAGGGGUCGGGUGGGGCUCGUUCGGGGUGCACAACGGUUGCGCCAAAAACGGUCCAAAAAUGGCCAAGGCUUUACCACACGAAAAAUCGGCCGAUUUUUAACCAUGUGAGAAACGUCCCGAAAGUUCACAGAUAACUACUAGGCGGCCUCACUCUGAGUAAUAUCAAAGUUUUUUCCCACAAAAAGCGCUCGGAGAUGCCCAGACUCAGUUUUUAUUUUCGUCCCAAUACUUUUCUUCCCAUGGUUUAGUUGUGUUUCUUUGAUCUUGUGCAACCUAUUUAGACCGAUGAUAGCCCGCGGAUGGGUGUGGAAACCCAUCUAUAUUGCACCCAGUAGGACACAGAAAAAAAGCCCAGGGCCUAGGGGUCGGGUGGGGCUCGUUCGGGGUGCACAACGGUUGCGCCAAAAACGGUCCAAAAAUGGCCAAGGCUUUACCACACGAAAAAUCGGCCGAUUUUUAACCAUGUGAGAAACGUCCCGAAAGUUCACAGAUAACUACUAGGCGGCCUCACUCUGAGUAAUAUCAAAGUUUUUUCCCACAAAAAGCGCUCGGAGAUGCCCAGACUCAGUUUUUAUUUUCGUCCCAAUACUUUUCUUCCCAUGGUUUAGUUGUGUCUCUUUGAUCUUGUGCAACCUAUUUAGACCGAUGAUAGCCCGCGGAUGGGUGUGGAAACCCAUCUAUAUUGCACCCAGUAGGACACAGAAAAAAAGCCCAGGGCCUAGGGGUCGGGUGGGGCUCGUUCGGGGUGCACAACGGUUGCGCCAAAAACGGUCCAAAAAUGGCCAAGGCUUUACCACACGAAAAAUCGGCCGAUUUUUAACCAUGUGAGAAACGUCCCGAAAGUUCACAGAUAACUACUAGGCGGCCUCACUCUGAGUAAUAUCAAAGUUUUUUCCCACAAAAAGCGCUCGGAGAUGCCCAGACUCAGUUUUUAUUUUCGUCCCAAUACUUUUCUUCCCAUGGUUUAGUUGUGUCUCUUUGAUCUUGUGCAACCUAUUUAGACCGAUGAUAGCCCGCGGAUGGGUGUGGAAACCCAUCUAUAUUGCACCCAGUAGGACACAGAAAAAAAGCCCAGGGCCUAGGGGUCGGGUGGGGCUCGUUCGGGGUGCACAACGGUUGCGCCAAAAACGGUCCAAAAAUGGCCAAGGCUUUACCACACGAAAAAUCGGCCGAUUUUUAACCAUGUGAGAAACGUCCCGAAAGUUCACAGAUAACUACUAGGCGGCCUCACUCUGAGUAAUAUCAAAGUUUUUUCCCACAAAAAGCGCUCGGAGAUGCCCAGACUCAGUUUUUAUUUUCGUCCCAAUACUUUUCUUCCCAUGGUUUAGUUGUGUCUCUUUGAUCUUGUGCAACCUAUUUAGACCGAUGAUAGCCCGCGGAUGGGUGUGGAAACCCAUCUAUAUUGCACCCAGUAGGACACAGAAAAAAAGCCCAGGGCCUAGGGGUCGGGUGGGGCUCGUUCGGGGUGCACAACGGUUGCGCCAAAAACGGUCCAAAAAUGGCCAAGGCUUUACCACACGAAAAAUCGGCCGAUUUUUAACCAUGUGAGAAACGUCCCGAAAGUUCACAGAUAACUACUAGGCGGCCUCACUCUGAGUAAUAUCAAAGUUUUUUCCCACAAAAAGCGCUCGGAGAUGCCCAGACUCAGUUUUUAUUUUCGUCCCAAUACUUUUCUUCCCAUGGUUUAGUUGUGUCUCUUUGAUCUUGUGCAACCUAUUUAGACCGAUGAUAGCCCGCGGAUGGGUGUGGAAACCCAUCUAUAUUGCACCCAGUAGGACACAGAAAAAAAGCCCAGGGCCUAGGGGUCGGGUGGGGCUCGUUCGGGGUGCACAACGGUUGCGCCAAAAACGGUCCAAAAAUGGCCAAGGCUUUACCACACGAAAAAUCGGCCGAUUUUUAACCAUGUGAGAAACGUCCCGAAAGUUCACAGAUAACUACUAGGCGGCCUCACUCUGAGUAAUAUCAAAGUUUUUUCCCACAAAAAGCGCUCGGAGAUGCCCAGACUCAGUUUUUAUUUUCGUCCCAAUACUUUUCUUCCCAUGGUUUAGUUGUGUCUCUUUGAUCUUGUGCAACCUAUUUAGACCGAUGAUAGCCCGCGGAUGGGUGUGGAAACCCAUCUAUAUUGCACCCAGUAGGACACAGAAAAAAAGCCCAGGGCCUAGGGGUCGGGUGGGGCUCGUUCGGGGUGCACAACGGUUGCGCCAAAAACGGUCCAAAAAUGGCCAAGGCUUUACCACACGAAAAAUCGGCCGAUUUUUAACCAUGUGAGAAACGUCCCGAAAGUUCACAGAUAACUACUAGGCGGCCUCACUCUGAGUAAUAUCAAAGUUUUUUCCCACAAAAAGCGCUCGGAGAUGCCCAGACUCAGUUUUUAUUUUCGUCCCAAUACUUUUCUUCCCAUGGUUUAGUUGUGUCUCUUUGAUCUUGUGCAACCUAUUUAGACCGAUGAUAGCCCGCGGAUGGGUGUGGAAACCCAUCUAUAUUGCACCCAGUAGGACACAGAAAAAAAGCCCAGGGCCUAGGGGUCGGGUGGGGCUCGUUCGGGGUGCACAACGGUUGCGCCAAAAACGGUCCAAAAAUGGCCAAGGCUUUACCACACGAAAAAUCGGCCGAUUUUUAACCAUGUGAGAAACGUCCCGAAAGUUCACAGAUAACUACUAGGCGGCCUCACUCUGAGUAAUAUCAAAGUUUUUUCCCACAAAAAGCGCUCGGAGAUGCCCAGACUCAGUUUUUAUUUUCGUCCCAAUACUUUUCUUCCCAUGGUUUAGUUGUGUCUCUUUGAUCUUGUGCAACCUAUUUAGACCGAUGAUAGCCCGCGGAUGGGUGUGGAAACCCAUCUAUAUUGCACCCAGUAGGACACAGAAAAAAAGCCCAGGGCCUAGGGGUCGGGUGGGGCUCGUUCGGGGUGCACAACGGUUGCGCCAAAAACGGUCCAAAAAUGGCCAAGGCUUUACCACACGAAAAAUCGGCCGAUUUUUAACCAUGUGAGAAACGUCCCGAAAGUUCACAGAUAACUACUAGGCGGCCUCACUCUGAGUAAUAUCAAAGUUUUUUCCCACAAAAAGCGCUCGGAGAUGCCCAGACUCAGUUUUUAUUUUCGUCCCAAUACUUUUCUUCCCAUGGUUUAGUUGUGUCUCUUUGAUCUUGUGCAACCUAUUUAGACCGAUGAUAGCCCGCGGAUGGGUGUGGAAACCCAUCUAUAUUGCACCCAGUAGGACACAGAAAAAAAGCCCAGGGCCUAGGGGUCGGGUGGGGCUCGUUCGGGGUGCACAACGGUUGCGCCAAAAACGGUCCAAAAAUGGCCAAGGCUUUACCACACGAAAAAUCGGCCGAUUUUUAACCAUGUGAGAAACGUCCCGAAAGUUCACAGAUAACUACUAGGCGGCCUCACUCUGAGUAAUAUCAAAGUUUUUUCCCACAAAAAGCGCUCGGAGAUGCCCAGACUCAGUUUUUAUUUUCGUCCCAAUACUUUUCUUCCCAUGGUUUAGUUGUGUCUCUUUGAUCUUGUGCAACCUAUUUAGACCGAUGAUAGCCCGCGGAUGGGUGUGGAAACCCAUCUAUAUUGCACCCAGUAGGACACAGAAAAAAAGCCCAGGGCCUAGGGGUCGGGUGGGGCUCGUUCGGGGUGCACAACGGUUGCGCCAAAAACGGUCCAAAAAUGGCCAAGGCUUUACCACACGAAAAAUCGGCCGAUUUUUAACCAUGUGAGAAACGUCCCGAAAGUUCACAGAUAACUACUAGGCGGCCUCACUCUGAGUAAUAUCAAAGUUUUUUCCCACAAAAAGCGCUCGGAGAUGCCCAGACUCAGUUUUUAUUUUCGUCCCAAUACUUUUCUUCCCAUGGUUUAGUUGUGUCUCUUUGAUCUUGUGCAACCUAUUUAGACCGAUGAUAGCCCGCGGAUGGGUGUGGAAACCCAUCUAUAUUGCACCCAGUAGGACACAGAAAAAAAGCCCAGGGCCUAGGGGUCGGGUGGGGCUCGUUCGGGGUGCACAACGGUUGCGCCAAAAACGGUCCAAAAAUGGCCAAGGCUUUACCACACGAAAAAUCGGCCGAUUUUUAACCAUGUGAGAAACGUCCCGAAAGUUCACAGAUAACUACUAGGCGGCCUCACUCUGAGUAAUAUCAAAGUUUUUUCCCACAAAAAGCGCUCGGAGAUGCCCAGACUCAGUUUUUAUUUUCGUCCCAAUACUUUUCUUCCCAUGGUUUAGUUGUGUCUCUUUGAUCUUGUGCAACCUAUUUAGACCGAUGAUAGCCCGCGGAUGGGUGUGGAAACCCAUCUAUAUUGCACCCAGUAGGACACAGAAAAAAAGCCCAGGGCCUAGGGGUCGGGUGGGGCUCGUUCGGGGUGCACAACGGUUGCGCCAAAAACGGUCCAAAAAUGGCCAAGGCUUUACCACACGAAAAAUCGGCCGAUUUUUAACCAUGUGAGAAACGUCCCGAAAGUUCACAGAUAACUACUAGGCGGCCUCACUCUGAGUAAUAUCAAAGUUUUUUCCCACAAAAAGCGCUCGGAGAUGCCCAGACUCAGUUUUUAUUUUCGUCCCAAUACUUUUCUUCCCAUGGUUUAGUUGUGUCUCUUUGAUCUUGUGCAACCUAUUUAGACCGAUGAUAGCCCGCGGAUGGGUGUGGAAACCCAUCUAUAUUGCACCCAGUAGGACACAGAAAAAAAGCCCAGGGCCUAGGGGUCGGGUGGGGCUCGUUCGGGGUGCACAACGGUUGCGCCAAAAACGGUCCAAAAAUGGCCAAGGCUUUACCACACGAAAAAUCGGCCGAUUUUUAACCAUGUGAGAAACGUCCCGAAAGUUCACAGAUAACUACUAGGCGGCCUCACUCUGAGUAAUAUCAAAGUUUUUUCCCACAAAAAGCGCUCGGAGAUGCCCAGACUCAGUUUUUAUUUUCGUCCCAAUACUUUUCUUCCCAUGGUUUAGUUGUGUCUCUUUGAUCUUGUGCAACCUAUUUAGACCGAUGAUAGCCCGCGGAUGGGUGUGGAAACCCAUCUAUAUUGCACCCAGUAGGACACAGAAAAAAAGCCCAGGGCCUAGGGGUCGGGUGGGGCUCGUUCGGGGUGCACAACGGUUGCGCCAAAAACGGUCCAAAAAUGGCCAAGGCUUUACCACACGAAAAAUCGGCCGAUUUUUAACCAUGUGAGAAACGUCCCGAAAGUUCACAGAUAACUACUAGGCGGCCUCACUCUGAGUAAUAUCAAAGUUUUUUCCCACAAAAAGCGCUCGGAGAUGCCCAGACUCAGUUUUUAUUUUCGUCCCAAUACUUUUCUUCCCAUGGUUUAGUUGUGUCUCUUUGAUCUUGUGCAACCUAUUUAGACCGAUGAUAGCCCGCGGAUGGGUGUGGAAACCCAUCUAUAUUGCACCCAGUAGGACACAGAAAAAAAGCCCAGGGCCUAGGGGUCGGGUGGGGCUCGUUCGGGGUGCACAACGGUUGCGCCAAAAACGGUCCAAAAAUGGCCAAGGCUUUACCACACGAAAAAUCGGCCGAUUUUUAACCAUGUGAGAAACGUCCCGAAAGUUCACAGAUAACUACUAGGCGGCCUCACUCUGAGUAAUAUCAAAGUUUUUUCCCACAAAAAGCGCUCGGAGAUGCCCAGACUCAGUUUUUAUUUUCGUCCCAAUACUUUUCUUCCCAUGGUUUAGUUGUGUCUCUUUGAUCUUGUGCAACCUAUUUAGACCGAUGAUAGCCCGCGGAUGGGUGUGGAAACCCAUCUAUAUUGCACCCAGUAGGACACAGAAAAAAAGCCCAGGGCCUAGGGGUCGGGUGGGGCUCGUUCGGGGUGCACAACGGUUGCGCCAAAAACGGUCCAAAAAUGGCCAAGGCUUUACCACACGAAAAAUCGGCCGAUUUUUAACCAUGUGAGAAACGUCCCGAAAGUUCACAGAUAACUACUAGGCGGCCUCACUCUGAGUAAUAUCAAAGUUUUUUCCCACAAAAAGCGCUCGGAGAUGCCCAGACUCAGUUUUUAUUUUCGUCCCAAUACUUUUCUUCCCAUGGUUUAGUUGUGUCUCUUUGAUCUUGUGCAACCUAUUUAGACCGAUGAUAGCCCGCGGAUGGGUGUGGAAACCCAUCUAUAUUGCACCCAGUAGGACACAGAAAAAAAGCCCAGGGCCUAGGGGUCGGGUGGGGCUCGUUCGGGGUGCACAACGGUUGCGCCAAAAACGGUCCAAAAAUGGCCAAGGCUUUACCACACGAAAAAUCGGCCGAUUUUUAACCAUGUGAGAAACGUCCCGAAAGUUCACAGAUAACUACUAGGCGGCCUCACUCUGAGUAAUAUCAAAGUUUUUUCCCACAAAAAGCGCUCGGAGAUGCCCAGACUCAGUUUUUAUUUUCGUCCCAAUACUUUUCUUCCCAUGGUUUAGUUGUGUCUCUUUGAUCUUGUGCAACCUAUUUAGACCGAUGAUAGCCCGCGGAUGGGUGUGGAAACCCAUCUAUAUUGCACCCAGUAGGACACAGAAAAAAAGCCCAGGGCCUAGGGGUCGGGUGGGGCUCGUUCGGGGUGCACAACGGUUGCGCCAAAAACGGUCCAAAAAUGGCCAAGGCUUUACCACACGAAAAAUCGGCCGAUUUUUAACCAUGUGAGAAACGUCCCGAAAGUUCACAGAUAACUACUAGGCGGCCUCACUCUGAGUAAUAUCAAAGUUUUUUCCCACAAAAAGCGCUCGGAGAUGCCCAGACUCAGUUUUUAUUUUCGUCCCAAUACUUUUCUUCCCAUGGUUUAGUUGUGUCUCUUUGAUCUUGUGCAACCUAUUUAGACCGAUGAUAGCCCGCGGAUGGGUGUGGAAACCCAUCUAUAUUGCACCCAGUAGGACACAGAAAAAAAGCCCAGGGCCUAGGGGUCGGGUGGGGCUCGUUCGGGGUGCACAACGGUUGCGCCAAAAACGGUCCAAAAAUGGCCAAGGCUUUACCACACGAAAAAUCGGCCGAUUUUUAACCAUGUGAGAAACGUCCCGAAAGUUCACAGAUAACUACUAGGCGGCCUCACUCUGAGUAAUAUCAAAGUUUUUUCCCACAAAAAGCGCUCGGAGAUGCCCAGACUCAGUUUUUAUUUUCGUCCCAAUACUUUUCUUCCCAUGGUUUAGUUGUGUCUCUUUGAUCUUGUGCAACCUAUUUAGACCGAUGAUAGCCCGCGGAUGGGUGUGGAAACCCAUCUAUAUUGCACCCAGUAGGACACAGAAAAAAAGCCCAGGGCCUAGGGGUCGGGUGGGGCUCGUUCGGGGUGCACAACGGUUGCGCCAAAAACGGUCCAAAAAUGGCCAAGGCUUUACCACACGAAAAAUCGGCCGAUUUUUAACCAUGUGAGAAACGUCCCGAAAGUUCACAGAUAACUACUAGGCGGCCUCACUCUGAGUAAUAUCAAAGUUUUUUCCCACAAAAAGCGCUCGGAGAUGCCCAGACUCAGUUUUUAUUUUCGUCCCAAUACUUUUCUUCCCAUGGUUUAGUUGUGUCUCUUUGAUCUUGUGCAACCUAUUUAGACCGAUGAUAGCCCGCGGAUGGGUGUGGAAACCCAUCUAUAUUGCACCCAGUAGGACACAGAAAAAAAGCCCAGGGCCUAGGGGUCGGGUGGGGCUCGUUCGGGGUGCACAACGGUUGCGCCAAAAACGGUCCAAAAAUGGCCAAGGCUUUACCACACGAAAAAUCGGCCGAUUUUUAACCAUGUGAGAAACGUCCCGAAAGUUCACAGAUAACUACUAGGCGGCCUCACUCUGAGUAAUAUCAAAGUUUUUUCCCACAAAAAGCGCUCGGAGAUGCCCAGACUCAGUUUUUAUUUUCGUCCCAAUACUUUUCUUCCCAUGGUUUAGUUGUGUCUCUUUGAUCUUGUGCAACCUAUUUAGACCGAUGAUAGCCCGCGGAUGGGUGUGGAAACCCAUCUAUAUUGCACCCAGUAGGACACAGAAAAAAAGCCCAGGGCCUAGGGGUCGGGUGGGGCUCGUUCGGGGUGCACAACGGUUGCGCCAAAAACGGUCCAAAAAUGGCCAAGGCUUUACCACACGAAAAAUCGGCCGAUUUUUAACCAUGUGAGAAACGUCCCGAAAGUUCACAGAUAACUACUAGGCGGCCUCACUCUGAGUAAUAUCAAAGUUUUUUCCCACAAAAAGCGCUCGGAGAUGCCCAGACUCAGUUUUUAUUUUCGUCCCAAUACUUUUCUUCCCAUGGUUUAGUUGUGUCUCUUUGAUCUUGUGCAACCUAUUUAGACCGAUGAUAGCCCGCGGAUGGGUGUGGAAACCCAUCUAUAUUGCACCCAGUAGGACACAGAAAAAAAGCCCAGGGCCUAGGGGUCGGGUGGGGCUCGUUCGGGGUGCACAACGGUUGCGCCAAAAACGGUCCAAAAAUGGCCAAGGCUUUACCACACGAAAAAUCGGCCGAUUUUUAACCAUGUGAGAAACGUCCCGAAAGUUCACAGAUAACUACUAGGCGGCCUCACUCUGAGUAAUAUCAAAGUUUUUUCCCACAAAAAGCGCUCGGAGAUGCCCAGACUCAGUUUUUAUUUUCGUCCCAAUACUUUUCUUCCCAUGGUUUAGUUGUGUCUCUUUGAUCUUGUGCAACCUAUUUAGACCGAUGAUAGCCCGCGGAUGGGUGUGGAAACCCAUCUAUAUUGCACCCAGUAGGACACAGAAAAAAAGCCCAGGGCCUAGGGGUCGGGUGGGGCUCGUUCGGGGUGCACAACGGUUGCGCCAAAAACGGUCCAAAAAUGGCCAAGGCUUUACCACACGAAAAAUCGGCCGAUUUUUAACCAUGUGAGAAACGUCCCGAAAGUUCACAGAUAACUACUAGGCGGCCUCACUCUGAGUAAUAUCAAAGUUUUUUCCCACAAAAAGCGCUCGGAGAUGCCCAGACUCAGUUUUUAUUUUCGUCCCAAUACUUUUCUUCCCAUGGUUUAGUUGUGUCUCUUUGAUCUUGUGCAACCUAUUUAGACCGAUGAUAGCCCGCGGAUGGGUGUGGAAACCCAUCUAUAUUGCACCCAGUAGGACACAGAAAAAAAGCCCAGGGCCUAGGGGUCGGGUGGGGCUCGUUCGGGGUGCACAACGGUUGCGCCAAAAACGGUCCAAAAAUGGCCAAGGCUUUACCACACGAAAAAUCGGCCGAUUUUUAACCAUGUGAGAAACGUCCCGAAAGUUCACAGAUAACUACUAGGCGGCCUCACUCUGAGUAAUAUCAAAGUUUUUUCCCACAAAAAGCGCUCGGAGAUGCCCAGACUCAGUUUUUAUUUUCGUCCCAAUACUUUUCUUCCCAUGGUUUAGUUGUGUCUCUUUGAUCUUGUGCAACCUAUUUAGACCGAUGAUAGCCCGCGGAUGGGUGUGGAAACCCAUCUAUAUUGCACCCAGUAGGACACAGAAAAAAAGCCCAGGGCCUAGGGGUCGGGUGGGGCUCGUUCGGGGUGCACAACGGUUGCGCCAAAAACGGUCCAAAAAUGGCCAAGGCUUUACCACACGAAAAAUCGGCCGAUUUUUAACCAUGUGAGAAACGUCCCGAAAGUUCACAGAUAACUACUAGGCGGCCUCACUCUGAGUAAUAUCAAAGUUUUUUCCCACAAAAAGCGCUCGGAGAUGCCCAGACUCAGUUUUUAUUUUCGUCCCAAUACUUUUCUUCCCAUGGUUUAGUUGUGUCUCUUUGAUCUUGUGCAACCUAUUUAGACCGAUGAUAGCCCGCGGAUGGGUGUGGAAACCCAUCUAUAUUGCACCCAGUAGGACACAGAAAAAAAGCCCAGGGCCUAGGGGUCGGGUGGGGCUCGUUCGGGGUGCACAACGGUUGCGCCAAAAACGGUCCAAAAAUGGCCAAGGCUUUACCACACGAAAAAUCGGCCGAUUUUUAACCAUGUGAGAAACGUCCCGAAAGUUCACAGAUAACUACUAGGCGGCCUCACUCUGAGUAAUAUCAAAGUUUUUUCCCACAAAAAGCGCUCGGAGAUGCCCAGACUCAGUUUUUAUUUUCGUCCCAAUACUUUUCUUCCCAUGGUUUAGUUGUGUCUCUUUGAUCUUGUGCAACCUAUUUAGACCGAUGAUAGCCCGCGGAUGGGUGUGGAAACCCAUCUAUAUUGCACCCAGUAGGACACAGAAAAAAAGCCCAGGGCCUAGGGGUCGGGUGGGGCUCGUUCGGGGUGCACAACGGUUGCGCCAAAAACGGUCCAAAAAUGGCCAAGGCUUUACCACACGAAAAAUCGGCCGAUUUUUAACCAUGUGAGAAACGUCCCGAAAGUUCACAGAUAACUACUAGGCGGCCUCACUCUGAGUAAUAUCAAAGUUUUUUCCCACAAAAAGCGCUCGGAGAUGCCCAGACUCAGUUUUUAUUUUCGUCCCAAUACUUUUCUUCCCAUGGUUUAGUUGUGUCUCUUUGAUCUUGUGCAACCUAUUUAGACCGAUGAUAGCCCGCGGAUGGGUGUGGAAACCCAUCUAUAUUGCACCCAGUAGGACACAGAAAAAAAGCCCAGGGCCUAGGGGUCGGGUGGGGCUCGUUCGGGGUGCACAACGGUUGCGCCAAAAACGGUCCAAAAAUGGCCAAGGCUUUACCACACGAAAAAUCGGCCGAUUUUUAACCAUGUGAGAAACGUCCCGAAAGUUCACAGAUAACUACUAGGCGGCCUCACUCUGAGUAAUAUCAAAGUUUUUUCCCACAAAAAGCGCUCGGAGAUGCCCAGACUCAGUUUUUAUUUUCGUCCCAAUACUUUUCUUCCCAUGGUUUAGUUGUGUCUCUUUGAUCUUGUGCAACCUAUUUAGACCGAUGAUAGCCCGCGGAUGGGUGUGGAAACCCAUCUAUAUUGCACCCAGUAGGACACAGAAAAAAAGCCCAGGGCCUAGGGGUCGGGUGGGGCUCGUUCGGGGUGCACAACGGUUGCGCCAAAAACGGUCCAAAAAUGGCCAAGGCUUUACCACACGAAAAAUCGGCCGAUUUUUAACCAUGUGAGAAACGUCCCGAAAGUUCACAGAUAACUACUAGGCGGCCUCACUCUGAGUAAUAUCAAAGUUUUUUCCCACAAAAAGCGCUCGGAGAUGCCCAGACUCAGUUUUUAUUUUCGUCCCAAUACUUUUCUUCCCAUGGUUUAGUUGUGUCUCUUUGAUCUUGUGCAACCUAUUUAGACCGAUGAUAGCCCGCGGAUGGGUGUGGAAACCCAUCUAUAUUGCACCCAGUAGGACACAGAAAAAAAGCCCAGGGCCUAGGGGUCGGGUGGGGCUCGUUCGGGGUGCACAACGGUUGCGCCAAAAACGGUCCAAAAAUGGCCAAGGCUUUACCACACGAAAAAUCGGCCGAUUUUUAACCAUGUGAGAAACGUCCCGAAAGUUCACAGAUAACUACUAGGCGGCCUCACUCUGAGUAAUAUCAAAGUUUUUUCCCACAAAAAGCGCUCGGAGAUGCCCAGACUCAGUUUUUAUUUUCGUCCCAAUACUUUUCUUCCCAUGGUUUAGUUGUGUCUCUUUGAUCUUGUGCAACCUAUUUAGACCGAUGAUAGCCCGCGGAUGGGUGUGGAAACCCAUCUAUAUUGCACCCAGUAGGACACAGAAAAAAAGCCCAGGGCCUAGGGGUCGGGUGGGGCUCGUUCGGGGUGCACAACGGUUGCGCCAAAAACGGUCCAAAAAUGGCCAAGGCUUUACCACACGAAAAAUCGGCCGAUUUUUAACCAUGUGAGAAACGUCCCGAAAGUUCACAGAUAACUACUAGGCGGCCUCACUCUGAGUAAUAUCAAAGUUUUUUCCCACAAAAAGCGCUCGGAGAUGCCCAGACUCAGUUUUUAUUUUCGUCCCAAUACUUUUCUUCCCAUGGUUUAGUUGUGUCUCUUUGAUCUUGUGCAACCUAUUUAGACCGAUGAUAGCCCGCGGAUGGGUGUGGAAACCCAUCUAUAUUGCACCCAGUAGGACACAGAAAAAAAGCCCAGGGCCUAGGGGUCGGGUGGGGCUCGUUCGGGGUGCACAACGGUUGCGCCAAAAACGGUCCAAAAAUGGCCAAGGCUUUACCACACGAAAAAUCGGCCGAUUUUUAACCAUGUGAGAAACGUCCCGAAAGUUCACAGAUAACUACUAGGCGGCCUCACUCUGAGUAAUAUCAAAGUUUUUUCCCACAAAAAGCGCUCGGAGAUGCCCAGACUCAGUUUUUAUUUUCGUCCCAAUACUUUUCUUCCCAUGGUUUAGUUGUGUCUCUUUGAUCUUGUGCAACCUAUUUAGACCGAUGAUAGCCCGCGGAUGGGUGUGGAAACCCAUCUAUAUUGCACCCAGUAGGACACAGAAAAAAAGCCCAGGGCCUAGGGGUCGGGUGGGGCUCGUUCGGGGUGCACAACGGUUGCGCCAAAAACGGUCCAAAAAUGGCCAAGGCUUUACCACACGAAAAAUCGGCCGAUUUUUAACCAUGUGAGAAACGUCCCGAAAGUUCACAGAUAACUACUAGGCGGCCUCACUCUGAGUAAUAUCAAAGUUUUUUCCCACAAAAAGCGCUCGGAGAUGCCCAGACUCAGUUUUUAUUUUCGUCCCAAUACUUUUCUUCCCAUGGUUUAGUUGUGUCUCUUUGAUCUUGUGCAACCUAUUUAGACCGAUGAUAGCCCGCGGAUGGGUGUGGAAACCCAUCUAUAUUGCACCCAGUAGGACACAGAAAAAAAGCCCAGGGCCUAGGGGUCGGGUGGGGCUCGUUCGGGGUGCACAACGGUUGCGCCAAAAACGGUCCAAAAAUGGCCAAGGCUUUACCACACGAAAAAUCGGCCGAUUUUUAACCAUGUGAGAAACGUCCCGAAAGUUCACAGAUAACUACUAGGCGGCCUCACUCUGAGUAAUAUCAAAGUUUUUUCCCACAAAAAGCGCUCGGAGAUGCCCAGACUCAGUUUUUAUUUUCGUCCCAAUACUUUUCUUCCCAUGGUUUAGUUGUGUCUCUUUGAUCUUGUGCAACCUAUUUAGACCGAUGAUAGCCCGCGGAUGGGUGUGGAAACCCAUCUAUAUUGCACCCAGUAGGACACAGAAAAAAAGCCCAGGGCCUAGGGGUCGGGUGGGGCUCGUUCGGGGUGCACAACGGUUGCGCCAAAAACGGUCCAAAAAUGGCCAAGGCUUUACCACACGAAAAAUCGGCCGAUUUUUAACCAUGUGAGAAACGUCCCGAAAGUUCACAGAUAACUACUAGGCGGCCUCACUCUGAGUAAUAUCAAAGUUUUUUCCCACAAAAAGCGCUCGGAGAUGCCCAGACUCAGUUUUUAUUUUCGUCCCAAUACUUUUCUUCCCAUGGUUUAGUUGUGUCUCUUUGAUCUUGUGCAACCUAUUUAGACCGAUGAUAGCCCGCGGAUGGGUGUGGAAACCCAUCUAUAUUGCACCCAGUAGGACACAGAAAAAAAGCCCAGGGCCUAGGGGUCGGGUGGGGCUCGUUCGGGGUGCACAACGGUUGCGCCAAAAACGGUCCAAAAAUGGCCAAGGCUUUACCACACGAAAAAUCGGCCGAUUUUUAACCAUGUGAGAAACGUCCCGAAAGUUCACAGAUAACUACUAGGCGGCCUCACUCUGAGUAAUAUCAAAGUUUUUUCCCACAAAAAGCGCUCGGAGAUGCCCAGACUCAGUUUUUAUUUUCGUCCCAAUACUUUUCUUCCCAUGGUUUAGUUGUGUCUCUUUGAUCUUGUGCAACCUAUUUAGACCGAUGAUAGCCCGCGGAUGGGUGUGGAAACCCAUCUAUAUUGCACCCAGUAGGACACAGAAAAAAAGCCCAGGGCCUAGGGGUCGGGUGGGGCUCGUUCGGGGUGCACAACGGUUGCGCCAAAAACGGUCCAAAAAUGGCCAAGGCUUUACCACACGAAAAAUCGGCCGAUUUUUAACCAUGUGAGAAACGUCCCGAAAGUUCACAGAUAACUACUAGGCGGCCUCACUCUGAGUAAUAUCAAAGUUUUUUCCCACAAAAAGCGCUCGGAGAUGCCCAGACUCAGUUUUUAUUUUCGUCCCAAUACUUUUCUUCCCAUGGUUUAGUUGUGUCUCUUUGAUCUUGUGCAACCUAUUUAGACCGAUGAUAGCCCGCGGAUGGGUGUGGAAACCCAUCUAUAUUGCACCCAGUAGGACACAGAAAAAAAGCCCAGGGCCUAGGGGUCGGGUGGGGCUCGUUCGGGGUGCACAACGGUUGCGCCAAAAACGGUCCAAAAAUGGCCAAGGCUUUACCACACGAAAAAUCGGCCGAUUUUUAACCAUGUGAGAAACGUCCCGAAAGUUCACAGAUAACUACUAGGCGGCCUCACUCUGAGUAAUAUCAAAGUUUUUUCCCACAAAAAGCGCUCGGAGAUGCCCAGACUCAGUUUUUAUUUUCGUCCCAAUACUUUUCUUCCCAUGGUUUAGUUGUGUCUCUUUGAUCUUGUGCAACCUAUUUAGACCGAUGAUAGCCCGCGGAUGGGUGUGGAAACCCAUCUAUAUUGCACCCAGUAGGACACAGAAAAAAAGCCCAGGGCCUAGGGGUCGGGUGGGGCUCGUUCGGGGUGCACAACGGUUGCGCCAAAAACGGUCCAAAAAUGGCCAAGGCUUUACCACACGAAAAAUCGGCCGAUUUUUAACCAUGUGAGAAACGUCCCGAAAGUUCACAGAUAACUACUAGGCGGCCUCACUCUGAGUAAUAUCAAAGUUUUUUCCCACAAAAAGCGCUCGGAGAUGCCCAGACUCAGUUUUUAUUUUCGUCCCAAUACUUUUCUUCCCAUGGUUUAGUUGUGUCUCUUUGAUCUUGUGCAACCUAUUUAGACCGAUGAUAGCCCGCGGAUGGGUGUGGAAACCCAUCUAUAUUGCACCCAGUAGGACACAGAAAAAAAGCCCAGGGCCUAGGGGUCGGGUGGGGCUCGUUCGGGGUGCACAACGGUUGCGCCAAAAACGGUCCAAAAAUGGCCAAGGCUUUACCACACGAAAAAUCGGCCGAUUUUUAACCAUGUGAGAAACGUCCCGAAAGUUCACAGAUAACUACUAGGCGGCCUCACUCUGAGUAAUAUCAAAGUUUUUUCCCACAAAAAGCGCUCGGAGAUGCCCAGACUCAGUUUUUAUUUUCGUCCCAAUACUUUUCUUCCCAUGGUUUAGUUGUGUCUCUUUGAUCUUGUGCAACCUAUUUAGACCGAUGAUAGCCCGCGGAUGGGUGUGGAAACCCAUCUAUAUUGCACCCAGUAGGACACAGAAAAAAAGCCCAGGGCCUAGGGGUCGGGUGGGGCUCGUUCGGGGUGCACAACGGUUGCGCCAAAAACGGUCCAAAAAUGGCCAAGGCUUUACCACACGAAAAAUCGGCCGAUUUUUAACCAUGUGAGAAACGUCCCGAAAGUUCACAGAUAACUACUAGGCGGCCUCACUCUGAGUAAUAUCAAAGUUUUUUCCCACAAAAAGCGCUCGGAGAUGCCCAGACUCAGUUUUUAUUUUCGUCCCAAUACUUUUCUUCCCAUGGUUUAGUUGUGUCUCUUUGAUCUUGUGCAACCUAUUUAGACCGAUGAUAGCCCGCGGAUGGGUGUGGAAACCCAUCUAUAUUGCACCCAGUAGGACACAGAAAAAAAGCCCAGGGCCUAGGGGUCGGGUGGGGCUCGUUCGGGGUGCACAACGGUUGCGCCAAAAACGGUCCAAAAAUGGCCAAGGCUUUACCACACGAAAAAUCGGCCGAUUUUUAACCAUGUGAGAAACGUCCCGAAAGUUCACAGAUAACUACUAGGCGGCCUCACUCUGAGUAAUAUCAAAGUUUUUUCCCACAAAAAGCGCUCGGAGAUGCCCAGACUCAGUUUUUAUUUUCGUCCCAAUACUUUUCUUCCCAUGGUUUAGUUGUGUCUCUUUGAUCUUGUGCAACCUAUUUAGACCGAUGAUAGCCCGCGGAUGGGUGUGGAAACCCAUCUAUAUUGCACCCAGUAGGACACAGAAAAAAAGCCCAGGGCCUAGGGGUCGGGUGGGGCUCGUUCGGGGUGCACAACGGUUGCGCCAAAAACGGUCCAAAAAUGGCCAAGGCUUUACCACACGAAAAAUCGGCCGAUUUUUAACCAUGUGAGAAACGUCCCGAAAGUUCACAGAUAACUACUAGGCGGCCUCACUCUGAGUAAUAUCAAAGUUUUUUCCCACAAAAAGCGCUCGGAGAUGCCCAGACUCAGUUUUUAUUUUCGUCCCAAUACUUUUCUUCCCAUGGUUUAGUUGUGUCUCUUUGAUCUUGUGCAACCUAUUUAGACCGAUGAUAGCCCGCGGAUGGGUGUGGAAACCCAUCUAUAUUGCACCCAGUAGGACACAGAAAAAAAGCCCAGGGCCUAGGGGUCGGGUGGGGCUCGUUCGGGGUGCACAACGGUUGCGCCAAAAACGGUCCAAAAAUGGCCAAGGCUUUACCACACGAAAAAUCGGCCGAUUUUUAACCAUGUGAGAAACGUCCCGAAAGUUCACAGAUAACUACUAGGCGGCCUCACUCUGAGUAAUAUCAAAGUUUUUUCCCACAAAAAGCGCUCGGAGAUGCCCAGACUCAGUUUUUAUUUUCGUCCCAAUACUUUUCUUCCCAUGGUUUAGUUGUGUCUCUUUGAUCUUGUGCAACCUAUUUAGACCGAUGAUAGCCCGCGGAUGGGUGUGGAAACCCAUCUAUAUUGCACCCAGUAGGACACAGAAAAAAAGCCCAGGGCCUAGGGGUCGGGUGGGGCUCGUUCGGGGUGCACAACGGUUGCGCCAAAAACGGUCCAAAAAUGGCCAAGGCUUUACCACACGAAAAAUCGGCCGAUUUUUAACCAUGUGAGAAACGUCCCGAAAGUUCACAGAUAACUACUAGGCGGCCUCACUCUGAGUAAUAUCAAAGUUUUUUCCCACAAAAAGCGCUCGGAGAUGCCCAGACUCAGUUUUUAUUUUCGUCCCAAUACUUUUCUUCCCAUGGUUUAGUUGUGUCUCUUUGAUCUUGUGCAACCUAUUUAGACCGAUGAUAGCCCGCGGAUGGGUGUGGAAACCCAUCUAUAUUGCACCCAGUAGGACACAGAAAAAAAGCCCAGGGCCUAGGGGUCGGGUGGGGCUCGUUCGGGGUGCACAACGGUUGCGCCAAAAACGGUCCAAAAAUGGCCAAGGCUUUACCACACGAAAAAUCGGCCGAUUUUUAACCAUGUGAGAAACGUCCCGAAAGUUCACAGAUAACUACUAGGCGGCCUCACUCUGAGUAAUAUCAAAGUUUUUUCCCACAAAAAGCGCUCGGAGAUGCCCAGACUCAGUUUUUAUUUUCGUCCCAAUACUUUUCUUCCCAUGGUUUAGUUGUGUCUCUUUGAUCUUGUGCAACCUAUUUAGACCGAUGAUAGCCCGCGGAUGGGUGUGGAAACCCAUCUAUAUUGCACCCAGUAGGACACAGAAAAAAAGCCCAGGGCCUAGGGGUCGGGUGGGGCUCGUUCGGGGUGCACAACGGUUGCGCCAAAAACGGUCCAAAAAUGGCCAAGGCUUUACCACACGAAAAAUCGGCCGAUUUUUAACCAUGUGAGAAACGUCCCGAAAGUUCACAGAUAACUACUAGGCGGCCUCACUCUGAGUAAUAUCAAAGUUUUUUCCCACAAAAAGCGCUCGGAGAUGCCCAGACUCAGUUUUUAUUUUCGUCCCAAUACUUUUCUUCCCAUGGUUUAGUUGUGUCUCUUUGAUCUUGUGCAACCUAUUUAGACCGAUGAUAGCCCGCGGAUGGGUGUGGAAACCCAUCUAUAUUGCACCCAGUAGGACACAGAAAAAAAGCCCAGGGCCUAGGGGUCGGGUGGGGCUCGUUCGGGGUGCACAACGGUUGCGCCAAAAACGGUCCAAAAAUGGCCAAGGCUUUACCACACGAAAAAUCGGCCGAUUUUUAACCAUGUGAGAAACGUCCCGAAAGUUCACAGAUAACUACUAGGCGGCCUCACUCUGAGUAAUAUCAAAGUUUUUUCCCACAAAAAGCGCUCGGAGAUGCCCAGACUCAGUUUUUAUUUUCGUCCCAAUACUUUUCUUCCCAUGGUUUAGUUGUGUCUCUUUGAUCUUGUGCAACCUAUUUAGACCGAUGAUAGCCCGCGGAUGGGUGUGGAAACCCAUCUAUAUUGCACCCAGUAGGACACAGAAAAAAAGCCCAGGGCCUAGGGGUCGGGUGGGGCUCGUUCGGGGUGCACAACGGUUGCGCCAAAAACGGUCCAAAAAUGGCCAAGGCUUUACCACACGAAAAAUCGGCCGAUUUUUAACCAUGUGAGAAACGUCCCGAAAGUUCACAGAUAACUACUAGGCGGCCUCACUCUGAGUAAUAUCAAAGUUUUUUCCCACAAAAAGCGCUCGGAGAUGCCCAGACUCAGUUUUUAUUUUCGUCCCAAUACUUUUCUUCCCAUGGUUUAGUUGUGUCUCUUUGAUCUUGUGCAACCUAUUUAGACCGAUGAUAGCCCGCGGAUGGGUGUGGAAACCCAUCUAUAUUGCACCCAGUAGGACACAGAAAAAAAGCCCAGGGCCUAGGGGUCGGGUGGGGCUCGUUCGGGGUGCACAACGGUUGCGCCAAAAACGGUCCAAAAAUGGCCAAGGCUUUACCACACGAAAAAUCGGCCGAUUUUUAACCAUGUGAGAAACGUCCCGAAAGUUCACAGAUAACUACUAGGCGGCCUCACUCUGAGUAAUAUCAAAGUUUUUUCCCACAAAAAGCGCUCGGAGAUGCCCAGACUCAGUUUUUAUUUUCGUCCCAAUACUUUUCUUCCCAUGGUUUAGUUGUGUCUCUUUGAUCUUGUGCAACCUAUUUAGACCGAUGAUAGCCCGCGGAUGGGUGUGGAAACCCAUCUAUAUUGCACCCAGUAGGACACAGAAAAAAAGCCCAGGGCCUAGGGGUCGGGUGGGGCUCGUUCGGGGUGCACAACGGUUGCGCCAAAAACGGUCCAAAAAUGGCCAAGGCUUUACCACACGAAAAAUCGGCCGAUUUUUAACCAUGUGAGAAACGUCCCGAAAGUUCACAGAUAACUACUAGGCGGCCUCACUCUGAGUAAUAUCAAAGUUUUUUCCCACAAAAAGCGCUCGGAGAUGCCCAGACUCAGUUUUUAUUUUCGUCCCAAUACUUUUCUUCCCAUGGUUUAGUUGUGUCUCUUUGAUCUUGUGCAACCUAUUUAGACCGAUGAUAGCCCGCGGAUGGGUGUGGAAACCCAUCUAUAUUGCACCCAGUAGGACACAGAAAAAAAGCCCAGGGCCUAGGGGUCGGGUGGGGCUCGUUCGGGGUGCACAACGGUUGCGCCAAAAACGGUCCAAAAAUGGCCAAGGCUUUACCACACGAAAAAUCGGCCGAUUUUUAACCAUGUGAGAAACGUCCCGAAAGUUCACAGAUAACUACUAGGCGGCCUCACUCUGAGUAAUAUCAAAGUUUUUUCCCACAAAAAGCGCUCGGAGAUGCCCAGACUCAGUUUUUAUUUUCGUCCCAAUACUUUUCUUCCCAUGGUUUAGUUGUGUCUCUUUGAUCUUGUGCAACCUAUUUAGACCGAUGAUAGCCCGCGGAUGGGUGUGGAAACCCAUCUAUAUUGCACCCAGUAGGACACAGAAAAAAAGCCCAGGGCCUAGGGGUCGGGUGGGGCUCGUUCGGGGUGCACAACGGUUGCGCCAAAAACGGUCCAAAAAUGGCCAAGGCUUUACCACACGAAAAAUCGGCCGAUUUUUAACCAUGUGAGAAACGUCCCGAAAGUUCACAGAUAACUACUAGGCGGCCUCACUCUGAGUAAUAUCAAAGUUUUUUCCCACAAAAAGCGCUCGGAGAUGCCCAGACUCAGUUUUUAUUUUCGUCCCAAUACUUUUCUUCCCAUGGUUUAGUUGUGUCUCUUUGAUCUUGUGCAACCUAUUUAGACCGAUGAUAGCCCGCGGAUGGGUGUGGAAACCCAUCUAUAUUGCACCCAGUAGGACACAGAAAAAAAGCCCAGGGCCUAGGGGUCGGGUGGGGCUCGUUCGGGGUGCACAACGGUUGCGCCAAAAACGGUCCAAAAAUGGCCAAGGCUUUACCACACGAAAAAUCGGCCGAUUUUUAACCAUGUGAGAAACGUCCCGAAAGUUCACAGAUAACUACUAGGCGGCCUCACUCUGAGUAAUAUCAAAGUUUUUUCCCACAAAAAGCGCUCGGAGAUGCCCAGACUCAGUUUUUAUUUUCGUCCCAAUACUUUUCUUCCCAUGGUUUAGUUGUGUCUCUUUGAUCUUGUGCAACCUAUUUAGACCGAUGAUAGCCCGCGGAUGGGUGUGGAAACCCAUCUAUAUUGCACCCAGUAGGACACAGAAAAAAAGCCCAGGGCCUAGGGGUCGGGUGGGGCUCGUUCGGGGUGCACAACGGUUGCGCCAAAAACGGUCCAAAAAUGGCCAAGGCUUUACCACACGAAAAAUCGGCCGAUUUUUAACCAUGUGAGAAACGUCCCGAAAGUUCACAGAUAACUACUAGGCGGCCUCACUCUGAGUAAUAUCAAAGUUUUUUCCCACAAAAAGCGCUCGGAGAUGCCCAGACUCAGUUUUUAUUUUCGUCCCAAUACUUUUCUUCCCAUGGUUUAGUUGUGUCUCUUUGAUCUUGUGCAACCUAUUUAGACCGAUGAUAGCCCGCGGAUGGGUGUGGAAACCCAUCUAUAUUGCACCCAGUAGGACACAGAAAAAAAGCCCAGGGCCUAGGGGUCGGGUGGGGCUCGUUCGGGGUGCACAACGGUUGCGCCAAAAACGGUCCAAAAAUGGCCAAGGCUUUACCACACGAAAAAUCGGCCGAUUUUUAACCAUGUGAGAAACGUCCCGAAAGUUCACAGAUAACUACUAGGCGGCCUCACUCUGAGUAAUAUCAAAGUUUUUUCCCACAAAAAGCGCUCGGAGAUGCCCAGACUCAGUUUUUAUUUUCGUCCCAAUACUUUUCUUCCCAUGGUUUAGUUGUGUCUCUUUGAUCUUGUGCAACCUAUUUAGACCGAUGAUAGCCCGCGGAUGGGUGUGGAAACCCAUCUAUAUUGCACCCAGUAGGACACAGAAAAAAAGCCCAGGGCCUAGGGGUCGGGUGGGGCUCGUUCGGGGUGCACAACGGUUGCGCCAAAAACGGUCCAAAAAUGGCCAAGGCUUUACCACACGAAAAAUCGGCCGAUUUUUAACCAUGUGAGAAACGUCCCGAAAGUUCACAGAUAACUACUAGGCGGCCUCACUCUGAGUAAUAUCAAAGUUUUUUCCCACAAAAAGCGCUCGGAGAUGCCCAGACUCAGUUUUUAUUUUCGUCCCAAUACUUUUCUUCCCAUGGUUUAGUUGUGUCUCUUUGAUCUUGUGCAACCUAUUUAGACCGAUGAUAGCCCGCGGAUGGGUGUGGAAACCCAUCUAUAUUGCACCCAGUAGGACACAGAAAAAAAGCCCAGGGCCUAGGGGUCGGGUGGGGCUCGUUCGGGGUGCACAACGGUUGCGCCAAAAACGGUCCAAAAAUGGCCAAGGCUUUACCACACGAAAAAUCGGCCGAUUUUUAACCAUGUGAGAAACGUCCCGAAAGUUCACAGAUAACUACUAGGCGGCCUCACUCUGAGUAAUAUCAAAGUUUUUUCCCACAAAAAGCGCUCGGAGAUGCCCAGACUCAGUUUUUAUUUUCGUCCCAAUACUUUUCUUCCCAUGGUUUAGUUGUGUCUCUUUGAUCUUGUGCAACCUAUUUAGACCGAUGAUAGCCCGCGGAUGGGUGUGGAAACCCAUCUAUAUUGCACCCAGUAGGACACAGAAAAAAAGCCCAGGGCCUAGGGGUCGGGUGGGGCUCGUUCGGGGUGCACAACGGUUGCGCCAAAAACGGUCCAAAAAUGGCCAAGGCUUUACCACACGAAAAAUCGGCCGAUUUUUAACCAUGUGAGAAACGUCCCGAAAGUUCACAGAUAACUACUAGGCGGCCUCACUCUGAGUAAUAUCAAAGUUUUUUCCCACAAAAAGCGCUCGGAGAUGCCCAGACUCAGUUUUUAUUUUCGUCCCAAUACUUUUCUUCCCAUGGUUUAGUUGUGUCUCUUUGAUCUUGUGCAACCUAUUUAGACCGAUGAUAGCCCGCGGAUGGGUGUGGAAACCCAUCUAUAUUGCACCCAGUAGGACACAGAAAAAAAGCCCAGGGCCUAGGGGUCGGGUGGGGCUCGUUCGGGGUGCACAACGGUUGCGCCAAAAACGGUCCAAAAAUGGCCAAGGCUUUACCACACGAAAAAUCGGCCGAUUUUUAACCAUGUGAGAAACGUCCCGAAAGUUCACAGAUAACUACUAGGCGGCCUCACUCUGAGUAAUAUCAAAGUUUUUUCCCACAAAAAGCGCUCGGAGAUGCCCAGACUCAGUUUUUAUUUUCGUCCCAAUACUUUUCUUCCCAUGGUUUAGUUGUGUCUCUUUGAUCUUGUGCAACCUAUUUAGACCGAUGAUAGCCCGCGGAUGGGUGUGGAAACCCAUCUAUAUUGCACCCAGUAGGACACAGAAAAAAAGCCCAGGGCCUAGGGGUCGGGUGGGGCUCGUUCGGGGUGCACAACGGUUGCGCCAAAAACGGUCCAAAAAUGGCCAAGGCUUUACCACACGAAAAAUCGGCCGAUUUUUAACCAUGUGAGAAACGUCCCGAAAGUUCACAGAUAACUACUAGGCGGCCUCACUCUGAGUAAUAUCAAAGUUUUUUCCCACAAAAAGCGCUCGGAGAUGCCCAGACUCAGUUUUUAUUUUCGUCCCAAUACUUUUCUUCCCAUGGUUUAGUUGUGUCUCUUUGAUCUUGUGCAACCUAUUUAGACCGAUGAUAGCCCGCGGAUGGGUGUGGAAACCCAUCUAUAUUGCACCCAGUAGGACACAGAAAAAAAGCCCAGGGCCUAGGGGUCGGGUGGGGCUCGUUCGGGGUGCACAACGGUUGCGCCAAAAACGGUCCAAAAAUGGCCAAGGCUUUACCACACGAAAAAUCGGCCGAUUUUUAACCAUGUGAGAAACGUCCCGAAAGUUCACAGAUAACUACUAGGCGGCCUCACUCUGAGUAAUAUCAAAGUUUUUUCCCACAAAAAGCGCUCGGAGAUGCCCAGACUCAGUUUUUAUUUUCGUCCCAAUACUUUUCUUCCCAUGGUUUAGUUGUGUCUCUUUGAUCUUGUGCAACCUAUUUAGACCGAUGAUAGCCCGCGGAUGGGUGUGGAAACCCAUCUAUAUUGCACCCAGUAGGACACAGAAAAAAAGCCCAGGGCCUAGGGGUCGGGUGGGGCUCGUUCGGGGUGCACAACGGUUGCGCCAAAAACGGUCCAAAAAUGGCCAAGGCUUUACCACACGAAAAAUCGGCCGAUUUUUAACCAUGUGAGAAACGUCCCGAAAGUUCACAGAUAACUACUAGGCGGCCUCACUCUGAGUAAUAUCAAAGUUUUUUCCCACAAAAAGCGCUCGGAGAUGCCCAGACUCAGUUUUUAUUUUCGUCCCAAUACUUUUCUUCCCAUGGUUUAGUUGUGUCUCUUUGAUCUUGUGCAACCUAUUUAGACCGAUGAUAGCCCGCGGAUGGGUGUGGAAACCCAUCUAUAUUGCACCCAGUAGGACACAGAAAAAAAGCCCAGGGCCUAGGGGUCGGGUGGGGCUCGUUCGGGGUGCACAACGGUUGCGCCAAAAACGGUCCAAAAAUGGCCAAGGCUUUACCACACGAAAAAUCGGCCGAUUUUUAACCAUGUGAGAAACGUCCCGAAAGUUCACAGAUAACUACUAGGCGGCCUCACUCUGAGUAAUAUCAAAGUUUUUUCCCACAAAAAGCGCUCGGAGAUGCCCAGACUCAGUUUUUAUUUUCGUCCCAAUACUUUUCUUCCCAUGGUUUAGUUGUGUCUCUUUGAUCUUGUGCAACCUAUUUAGACCGAUGAUAGCCCGCGGAUGGGUGUGGAAACCCAUCUAUAUUGCACCCAGUAGGACACAGAAAAAAAGCCCAGGGCCUAGGGGUCGGGUGGGGCUCGUUCGGGGUGCACAACGGUUGCGCCAAAAACGGUCCAAAAAUGGCCAAGGCUUUACCACACGAAAAAUCGGCCGAUUUUUAACCAUGUGAGAAACGUCCCGAAAGUUCACAGAUAACUACUAGGCGGCCUCACUCUGAGUAAUAUCAAAGUUUUUUCCCACAAAAAGCGCUCGGAGAUGCCCAGACUCAGUUUUUAUUUUCGUCCCAAUACUUUUCUUCCCAUGGUUUAGUUGUGUCUCUUUGAUCUUGUGCAACCUAUUUAGACCGAUGAUAGCCCGCGGAUGGGUGUGGAAACCCAUCUAUAUUGCACCCAGUAGGACACAGAAAAAAAGCCCAGGGCCUAGGGGUCGGGUGGGGCUCGUUCGGGGUGCACAACGGUUGCGCCAAAAACGGUCCAAAAAUGGCCAAGGCUUUACCACACGAAAAAUCGGCCGAUUUUUAACCAUGUGAGAAACGUCCCGAAAGUUCACAGAUAACUACUAGGCGGCCUCACUCUGAGUAAUAUCAAAGUUUUUUCCCACAAAAAGCGCUCGGAGAUGCCCAGACUCAGUUUUUAUUUUCGUCCCAAUACUUUUCUUCCCAUGGUUUAGUUGUGUUUCUUUGAUCUUGUGCAACCUAUUUAGACCGAUGAUAGCCCGCGGAUGGGUGUGGAAACCCAUCUAUAUUGCACCCAGUAGGACACAGAAAAAAAGCCCAGGGCCUAGGGGUCGGGUGGGGCUCGUUCGGGGUGCACAACGGUUGCGCCAAAAACGGUCCAAAAAUGGCCAAGGCUUUACCACACGAAAAAUCGGCCGAUUUUUAACCAUGUGAGAAACGUCCCGAAAGUUCACAGAUAACUACUAGGCGGCCUCACUCUGAGUAAUAUCAAAGUUUUUUCCCACAAAAAGCGCUCGGAGAUGCCCAGACUCAGUUUUUAUUUUCGUCCCAAUACUUUUCUUCCCAUGGUUUAGUUGUGUUUCUUUGAUCUUGUGCAACCUAUUUAGACCGAUGAUAGCCCGCGGAUGGGUGUGGAAACCCAUCUAUAUUGCACCCAGUAGGACACAGAAAAAAAGCCCAGGGCCUAGGGGUCGGGUGGGGCUCGUUCGGGGUGCACAACGGUUGCGCCAAAAACGGUCCAAAAAUGGCCAAGGCUUUACCACACGAAAAAUCGGCCGAUUUUUAACCAUGUGAGAAACGUCCCGAAAGUUCACAGAUAACUACUAGGCGGCCUCACUCUGAGUAAUAUCAAAGUUUUUUCCCACAAAAAGCGCUCGGAGAUGCCCAGACUCAGUUUUUAUUUUCGUCCCAAUACUUUUCUUCCCAUGGUUUAGUUGUGUUUCUUUGAUCUUGUGCAACCUAUUUAGACCGAUGAUAGCCCGCGGAUAGGUGUGGAAACCCAUCUAUAUUGCACCCAGUAGGACACAGAAAAAAAGCCCAGGGCCUAGGGGUCGGGUGGGGCUCGUUCGGGGUGCACAACGGUUGCGCCAAAAACGGUCCAAAAAUGGCCAAGGCUUUACCACACGAAAAAUCGGCCGAUUUUUAACCAUGUGAGAAACGUCCCGAAAGUUCACAGAUAACUACUAGGCGGCCUCACUCUGAGUAAUAUCAAAGUUUUUUCCCACAAAAAGCGCUCGGAGAUGCCCAGACUCAGUUUUUAUUUUCGUCCCAAUACUUUUCUUCCCAUGGUUUAGUUGUGUUUCUUUGAUCUUGUGCAACCUAUUUAGACCGAUGAUAGCCCGCGGAUAGGUGUGGAAACCCAUCUAUAUUGCACCCAGUAUGACACAGAAAAAAAGCCCAGGGCCUAGGGGUCGGGUGGGGCUCGUUCGGGGUGCACAACGGUUGCGCCAAAAACGGUCCAAAAAUGGCCAAGGCUUUACCAUACCGAAAAUCGGCCGAUUUUUAACCAUGUGAGAAACGUCCCGAAAAUUCACAGAUAACUACUAGGAGGCCUCACUCUGAGUAAUAUGAAAGUUUUCUCCCACAAGAACCGCUCGGAGAUGCCCAGACUCAGUUUUUAUUUUCGUCCCAAUACUUUUCUUCCCAUGGACUAGUUGUGUUUCUUUGAUCUUGUGCAACCUAUUUAGGCCGAUGAUAGACCGCGGAUAGGUGUGGAAACCCAUCUAUAUUGCACCCAGUAUGACACAGAAAAAAAGCCCAGGGCCUAGGGGUCGGGUGGGGCUCGUUCGGGGUGCACAACGGUUGCGCCAAAAACGGUCCAAAAAUGGCCAAGGCUUUACCAUACCGAAAAUCGGCCGAUUUUUAACCAUGUGAGAAACGUCCCGAAAAUUCACAGGUAACUACUAGGGGCCUUUAAAAAAAUUUUUUCCCUCAAAAACCGCUCAAAAUGAGGCCACCCAGUAGUUAGGUGUGAAUUUUCGAGACCUUUGGCACCGUUCUAAGAUGGGUCCUCUCUUCGUAGGCUAAUGCAUUGGCCCUUUUUGACCCGUUUUGGGGCGAAAACAAAAACUGACUCCCGGGCAUAUUUUUUUCGGCCUUUAUGGGCAGAGAACUUUAAUACCGCUCAAAAUGAGGCCACCCAGUAGUUAGGUGUGAAUUUUCGAGACCUUUGGCACCGUUCUAAGAUGGGUCCUCUCUUCGUAGGCUAAUGCAUUGGCCCUUUUUGACCCGUUUUGGGGCGAAAACAAAAACUGACUCCCGGGCAUAUUUUUUUCGGCCUUUAUGGGCAGAGAACUUUAAUACCGCUCAAAAUGAGGCCACCCAGUAGUUAGGUGUGAAUUUUCGAGACCUUUGGCACCGUUCUAAGAUGGGUCCUCUCUUCGUAGGCUAAUGCAUUGGCCCUUUUUGACCCGUUUUGGGGCGAAAACAAAAACUGACUCCCGGGCAUAUUUUUUUCGGCCUUUAUGGGCAGAGAACUUUAAUACCGCUCAAAAUGAGGCCACCCAGUAGUUAGGUGUGAAUUUUCGAGACCUUUGGCACCGUUCUAAGAUGGGUCCUCUCUUCGUAGGCUAAUGCAUUGGCCCUUUUUGACCCGUUUUGGGGCGAAAACAAAAACUGACUCCCGGGCAUAUUUUUUUCGGCCUUUAUGGGCAGAGAACUUUAAUACCGCUCAAAAUGAGGCCACCCAGUAGUUAGGUGUGAAUUUUCGAGACCUUUGGCACCGUUCUAAGAUGGGUCCUCUCUUCGUAGGCUAAUGCAUUGGCCCUUUUUGACCCGUUUUGGGGCGAAAACAAAAACUGACUCCCGGGCAUAUUUUUUUCGGCCUUUAUGGGCAGAGAACUUUAAUACCGCUCAAAAUGAGGCCACCCAGUAGUUAGGUGUGAAUUUUCGAGACCUUUGGCACCGUUCUAAGAUGGGUCCUCUCUUCGUAGGCUAAUGCAUUGGCCCUUUUUGACCCGUUUUGGGGCGAAAACAAAAACUGACUCCCGGGCAUAUUUUUUUCGGCCUUUAUGGGCAGAGAACUUUAAUACCGCUCAAAAUGAGGCCACCCAGUAGUUAGGUGUGAAUUUUCGAGACCUUUGGCACCGUUCUAAGAUGGGUCCUCUCUUCGUAGGCUAAUGCAUUGGCCCUUUUUGACCCGUUUUGGGGCGAAAACAAAAACUGACUCCCGGGCAUAUUUUUUUCGGCCUUUAUGGGCAGAGAACUUUAAUACCGCUCAAAAUGAGGCCACCCAGUAGUUAGGUGUGAAUUUUCGAGACCUUUGGCACCGUUCUAAGAUGGGUCCUCUCUUCGUAGGCUAAUGCAUUGGCCCUUUUUGACCCGUUUUGGGGCGAAAACAAAAACUGACUCCCGGGCAUAUUUUUUUCGGCCUUUAUGGGCAGAGAACUUUAAUACCGCUCAAAAUGAGGCCACCCAGUAGUUAGGUGUGAAUUUUCGAGACCUUUGGCACCGUUCUAAGAUGGGUCCUCUCUUCGUAGGCUAAUGCAUUGGCCCUUUUUGACCCGUUUUGGGGCGAAAACAAAAACUGACUCCCGGGCAUAUUUUUUUCGGCCUUUAUGGGCAGAGAACUUUAAUACCGCUCAAAAUGAGGCCACCCAGUAGUUAGGUGUGAAUUUUCGAGACCUUUGGCACCGUUCUAAGAUGGGUCCUCUCUUCGUAGGCUAAUGCAUUGGCCCUUUUUGACCCGUUUUGGGGCGAAAACAAAAACUGACUCCCGGGCAUAUUUUUUUCGGCCUUUAUGGGCAGAGAACUUUAAUACCGCUCAAAAUGAGGCCACCCAGUAGUUAGGUGUGAAUUUUCGAGACCUUUGGCACCGUUCUAAGAUGGGUCCUCUCUUCGUAGGCUAAUGCAUUGGCCCUUUUUGACCCGUUUUGGGGCGAAAACAAAAACUGACUCCCGGGCAUAUUUUUUUCGGCCUUUAUGGGCAGAGAACUUUAAUACCGCUCAAAAUGAGGCCACCCAGUAGUUAGGUGUGAAUUUUCGAGACCUUUGGCACCGUUCUAAGAUGGGUCCUCUCUUCGUAGGCUAAUGCAUUGGCCCUUUUUGACCCGUUUUGGGGCGAAAACAAAAACUGACUCCCGGGCAUAUUUUUUUCGGCCUUUAUGGGCAGAGAACUUUAAUACCGCUCAAAAUGAGGCCACCCAGUAGUUAGGUGUGAAUUUUCGAGACCUUUGGCACCGUUCUAAGAUGGGUCCUCUCUUCGUAGGCUAAUGCAUUGGCCCUUUUUGACCCGUUUUGGGGCGAAAACAAAAACUGACUCCCGGGCAUAUUUUUUUCGGCCUUUAUGGGCAGAGAACUUUAAUACCGCUCAAAAUGAGGCCACCCAGUAGUUAGGUGUGAAUUUUCGAGACCUUUGGCACCGUUCUAAGAUGGGUCCUCUCUUCGUAGGCUAAUGCAUUGGCCCUUUUUGACCCGUUUUGGGGCGAAAACAAAAACUGACUCCCGGGCAUAUUUUUUUCGGCCUUUAUGGGCAGAGAACUUUAAUACCGCUCAAAAUGAGGCCACCCAGUAGUUAGGUGUGAAUUUUCGAGACCUUUGGCACCGUUCUAAGAUGGGUCCUCUCUUCGUAGGCUAAUGCAUUGGCCCUUUUUGACCCGUUUUGGGGCGAAAACAAAAACUGACUCCCGGGCAUUUUUUUUCGGCCUUUAUGGGCAGAGAACUUUAAUACCGCUCAAAAUGAGGCCACCCAGUAGUUAGGUGUGAAUUUUCGAGACCUUUGGCACCGUUCUAAGAUGGGUCCUCUCUUCGUAGGCUAAUGCAUUGGCCCUUUUUGACCCGUUUUGGGGCGAAAACAAAAACUGACUCCCGGGCAUAUUUUUUUCGGCCUUUAUGGGCAGAGAACUUUAAUACCGCUCAAAAUGAGGCCACCCAGUAGUUAGGUGUGAAUUUUCGAGACCUUUGGCACCGUUCUAAGAUGGGUCCUCUCUUCGUAGGCUAAUGCAUUGGCCCUUUUUGACCCGUUUUGGGGCGAAAACAAAAACUGACUCCCGGGCAUAUUUUUUUCGGCCUUUAUGGGCAGAGAACUUUAAUACCGCUCAAAAUGAGGCCACCCAGUAGUUAGGUGUGAAUUUUCGAGACCUUUGGCACCGUUCUAAGAUGGGUCCUCUCUUCGUAGGCUAAUGCAUUGGCCCUUUUUGACCCGUUUUGGGGCGAAAACAAAAACUGACUCCCGGGCAUAUUUUUUUCGGCCUUUAUGGGCAGAGAACUUUAAUACCGCUCAAAAUGAGGCCACCCAGUAGUUAGGUGUGAAUUUUCGAGACCUUUGGCACCGUUCUAAGAUGGGUCCUCUCUUCGUAGGCUAAUGCAUUGGCCCUUUUUGACCCGUUUUGGGGCGAAAACAAAAACUGACUCCCGGGCAUAUUUUUUUCGGCCUUUAUGGGCAGAGAACUUUAAUACCGCUCAAAAUGAGGCCACCCAGUAGUUAGGUGUGAAUUUUCGAGACCUUUGGCACCGUUCUAAGAUGGGUCCUCUCUUCGUAGGCUAAUGCAUUGGCCCUUUUUGACCCGUUUUGGGGCGAAAACAAAAACUGACUCCCGGGCAUAUUUUUUUCGGCCUUUAUGGGCAGAGAACUUUAAUACCGCUCAAAAUGAGGCCACCCAGUAGUUAGGUGUGAAUUUUCGAGACCUUUGGCACCGUUCUAAGAUGGGUCCUCUCUUCGUAGGCUAAUGCAUUGGCCCUUUUUGACCCGUUUUGGGGCGAAAACAAAAACUGACUCCCGGGCAUAUUUUUUUCGGCCUUUAUGGGCAGAGAACUUUAAUACCGCUCAAAAUGAGGCCACCCAGUAGUUAGGUGUGAAUUUUCGAGACCUUUGGCACCGUUCUAAGAUGGGUCCUCUCUUCGUAGGCUAAUGCAUUGGCCCUUUUUGACCCGUUUUGGGGCGAAAACAAAAACUGACUCCCGGGCAUAUUUUUUUCGGCCUUUAUGGGCAGAGAACUUUAAUACCGCUCAAAAUGAGGCCACCCAGUAGUUAGGUGUGAAUUUUCGAGACCUUUGGCACCGUUCUAAGAUGGGUCCUCUCUUCGUAGGCUAAUGCAUUGGCCCUUUUUGACCCGUUUUGGGGCGAAAACAAAAACUGACUCCCGGGCAUAUUUUUUUCGGCCUUUAUGGGCAGAGAACUUUAAUACCGCUCAAAAUGAGGCCACCCAGUAGUUAGGUGUGAAUUUUCGAGACCUUUGGCACCGUUCUAAGAUGGGUCCUCUCUUCGUAGGCUAAUGCAUUGGCCCUUUUUGACCCGUUUUGGGGCGAAAACAAAAACUGACUCCCGGGCAUAUUUUUUUCGGCCUUUAUGGGCAGAGAACUUUAAUACCGCUCAAAAUGAGGCCACCCAGUAGUUAGGUGUGAAUUUUCGAGACCUUUGGCACCGUUCUAAGAUGGGUCCUCUCUUCGUAGGCUAAUGCAUUGGCCCUUUUUGACCCGUUUUGGGGCGAAAACAAAAACUGACUCCCGGGCAUAUUUUUUUCGGCCUUUAUGGGCAGAGAACUUUAAUACCGCUCAAAAUGAGGCCACCCAGUAGUUAGGUGUGAAUUUUCGAGACCUUUGGCACCGUUCUAAGAUGGGUCCUCUCUUCGUAGGCUAAUGCAUUGGCCCUUUUUGACCCGUUUUGGGGCGAAAACAAAAACUGACUCCCGGGCAUAUUUUUUUCGGCCUUUAUGGGCAGAGAACUUUAAUACCGCUCAAAAUGAGGCCACCCAGUAGUUAGGUGUGAAUUUUCGAGACCUUUGGCACCGUUCUAAGAUGGGUCCUCUCUUCGUAGGCUAAUGCAUUGGCCCUUUUUGACCCGUUUUGGGGCGAAAACAAAAACUGACUCCCGGGCAUAUUUUUUUCGGCCUUUAUGGGCAGAGAACUUUAAUACCGCUCAAAAUGAGGCCACCCAGUAGUUAGGUGUGAAUUUUCGAGACCUUUGGCACCGUUCUAAGAUGGGUCCUCUCUUCGUAGGCUAAUGCAUUGGCCCUUUUUGACCCGUUUUGGGGCGAAAACAAAAACUGACUCCCGGGCAUAUUUUUUUCGGCCUUUAUGGGCAGAGAACUUUAAUACCGCUCAAAAUGAGGCCACCCAGUAGUUAGGUGUGAAUUUUCGAGACCUUUGGCACCGUUCUAAGAUGGGUCCUCUCUUCGUAGGCUAAUGCAUUGGCCCUUUUUGACCCGUUUUGGGGCGAAAACAAAAACUGACUCCCGGGCAUAUUUUUUUCGGCCUUUAUGGGCAGAGAACUUUAAUACCGCUCAAAAUGAGGCCACCCAGUAGUUAGGUGUGAAUUUUCGAGACCUUUGGCACCGUUCUAAGAUGGGUCCUCUCUUCGUAGGCUAAUGCAUUGGCCCUUUUUGACCCGUUUUGGGGCGAAAACAAAAACUGACUCCCGGGCAUAUUUUUUUCGGCCUUUAUGGGCAGAGAACUUUAAUACCGCUCAAAAUGAGGCCACCCAGUAGUUAGGUGUGAAUUUUCGAGACCUUUGGCACCGUUCUAAGAUGGGUCCUCUCUUCGUAGGCUAAUGCAUUGGCCCUUUUUGACCCGUUUUGGGGCGAAAACAAAAACUGACUCCCGGGCAUAUUUUUUUCGGCCUUUAUGGGCAGAGAACUUUAAUACCGCUCAAAAUGAGGCCACCCAGUAGUUAGGUGUGAAUUUUCGAGACCUUUGGCACCGUUCUAAGAUGGGUCCUCUCUUCGUAGGCUAAUGCAUUGGCCCUUUUUGACCCGUUUUGGGGCGAAAACAAAAACUGACUCCCGGGCAUAUUUUUUUCGGCCUUUAUGGGCAGAGAACUUUAAUACCGCUCAAAAUGAGGCCACCCAGUAGUUAGGUGUGAAUUUUCGAGACCUUUGGCACCGUUCUAAGAUGGGUCCUCUCUUCGUAGGCUAAUGCAUUGGCCCUUUUUGACCCGUUUUGGGGCGAAAACAAAAACUGACUCCCGGGCAUAUUUUUUUCGGCCUUUAUGGGCAGAGAACUUUAAUACCGCUCAAAAUGAGGCCACCCAGUAGUUAGGUGUGAAUUUUCGAGACCUUUGGCACCGUUCUAAGAUGGGUCCUCUCUUCGUAGGCUAAUGCAUUGGCCCUUUUUGACCCGUUUUGGGGCGAAAACAAAAACUGACUCCCGGGCAUAUUUUUUUCGGCCUUUAUGGGCAGAGAACUUUAAUACCGCUCAAAAUGAGGCCACCCAGUAGUUAGGUGUGAAUUUUCGAGACCUUUGGCACCGUUCUAAGAUGGGUCCUCUCUUCGUAGGCUAAUGCAUUGGCCCUUUUUGACCCGUUUUGGGGCGAAAACAAAAACUGACUCCCGGGCAUAUUUUUUUCGGCCUUUAUGGGCAGAGAACUUUAAUACCGCUCAAAAUGAGGCCACCCAGUAGUUAGGUGUGAAUUUUCGAGACCUUUGGCACCGUUCUAAGAUGGGUCCUCUCUUCGUAGGCUAAUGCAUUGGCCCUUUUUGACCCGUUUUGGGGCGAAAACAAAAACUGACUCCCGGGCAUAUUUUUUUCGGCCUUUAUGGGCAGAGAACUUUAAUACCGCUCAAAAUGAGGCCACCCAGUAGUUAGGUGUGAAUUUUCGAGACCUUUGGCACCGUUCUAAGAUGGGUCCUCUCUUCGUAGGCUAAUGCAUUGGCCCUUUUUGACCCGUUUUGGGGCGAAAACAAAAACUGACUCCCGGGCAUAUUUUUUUCGGCCUUUAUGGGCAGAGAACUUUAAUACCGCUCAAAAUGAGGCCACCCAGUAGUUAGGUGUGAAUUUUCGAGACCUUUGGCACCGUUCUAAGAUGGGUCCUCUCUUCGUAGGCUAAUGCAUUGGCCCUUUUUGACCCGUUUUGGGGCGAAAACAAAAACUGACUCCCGGGCAUAUUUUUUUCGGCCUUUAUGGGCAGAGAACUUUAAUACCGCUCAAAAUGAGGCCACCCAGUAGUUAGGUGUGAAUUUUCGAGACCUUUGGCACCGUUCUAAGAUGGGUCCUCUCUUCGUAGGCUAAUGCAUUGGCCCUUUUUGACCCGUUUUGGGGCGAAAACAAAAACUGACUCCCGGGCAUAUUUUUUUCGGCCUUUAUGGGCAGAGAACUUUAAUACCGCUCAAAAUGAGGCCACCCAGUAGUUAGGUGUGAAUUUUCGAGACCUUUGGCACCGUUCUAAGAUGGGUCCUCUCUUCGUAGGCUAAUGCAUUGGCCCUUUUUGACCCGUUUUGGGGCGAAAACAAAAACUGACUCCCGGGCAUAUUUUUUUCGGCCUUUAUGGGCAGAGAACUUUAAUACCGCUCAAAAUGAGGCCACCCAGUAGUUAGGUGUGAAUUUUCGAGACCUUUGGCACCGUUCUAAGAUGGGUCCUCUCUUCGUAGGCUAAUGCAUUGGCCCUUUUUGACCCGUUUUGGGGCGAAAACAAAAACUGACUCCCGGGCAUAUUUUUUUCGGCCUUUAUGGGCAGAGAACUUUAAUACCGCUCAAAAUGAGGCCACCCAGUAGUUAGGUGUGAAUUUUCGAGACCUUUGGCACCGUUCUAAGAUGGGUCCUCUCUUCGUAGGCUAAUGCAUUGGCCCUUUUUGACCCGUUUUGGGGCGAAAACAAAAACUGACUCCCGGGCAUAUUUUUUUCGGCCUUUAUGGGCAGAGAACUUUAAUACCGCUCAAAAUGAGGCCACCCAGUAGUUAGGUGUGAAUUUUCGAGACCUUUGGCACCGUUCUAAGAUGGGUCCUCUCUUCGUAGGCUAAUGCAUUGGCCCUUUUUGACCCGUUUUGGGGCGAAAACAAAAACUGACUCCCGGGCAUAUUUUUUUCGGCCUUUAUGGGCAGAGAACUUUAAUACCGCUCAAAAUGAGGCCACCCAGUAGUUAGGUGUGAAUUUUCGAGACCUUUGGCACCGUUCUAAGAUGGGUCCUCUCUUCGUAGGCUAAUGCAUUGGCCCUUUUUGACCCGUUUUGGGGCGAAAACAAAAACUGACUCCCGGGCAUAUUUUUUUCGGCCUUUAUGGGCAGAGAACUUUAAUACCGCUCAAAAUGAGGCCACCCAGUAGUUAGGUGUGAAUUUUCGAGACCUUUGGCACCGUUCUAAGAUGGGUCCUCUCUUCGUAGGCUAAUGCAUUGGCCCUUUUUGACCCGUUUUGGGGCGAAAACAAAAACUGACUCCCGGGCAUAUUUUUUUCGGCCUUUAUGGGCAGAGAACUUUAAUACCGCUCAAAAUGAGGCCACCCAGUAGUUAGGUGUGAAUUUUCGAGACCUUUGGCACCGUUCUAAGAUGGGUCCUCUCUUCGUAGGCUAAUGCAUUGGCCCUUUUUGACCCGUUUUGGGGCGAAAACAAAAACUGACUCCCGGGCAUAUUUUUUUCGGCCUUUAUGGGCAGAGAACUUUAAUACCGCUCAAAAUGAGGCCACCCAGUAGUUAGGUGUGAAUUUUCGAGACCUUUGGCACCGUUCUAAGAUGGGUCCUCUCUUCGUAGGCUAAUGCAUUGGCCCUUUUUGACCCGUUUUGGGGCGAAAACAAAAACUGACUCCCGGGCAUAUUUUUUUCGGCCUUUAUGGGCAGAGAACUUUAAUACCGCUCAAAAUGAGGCCACCCAGUAGUUAGGUGUGAAUUUUCGAGACCUUUGGCACCGUUCUAAGAUGGGUCCUCUCUUCGUAGGCUAAUGCAUUGGCCCUUUUUGACCCGUUUUGGGGCGAAAACAAAAACUGACUCCCGGGCAUAUUUUUUUCGGCCUUUAUGGGCAGAGAACUUUAAUACCGCUCAAAAUGAGGCCACCCAGUAGUUAGGUGUGAAUUUUCGAGACCUUUGGCACCGUUCUAAGAUGGGUCCUCUCUUCGUAGGCUAAUGCAUUGGCCCUUUUUGACCCGUUUUGGGGCGAAAACAAAAACUGACUCCCGGGCAUAUUUUUUUCGGCCUUUAUGGGCAGAGAACUUUAAUACCGCUCAAAAUGAGGCCACCCAGUAGUUAGGUGUGAAUUUUCGAGACCUUUGGCACCGUUCUAAGAUGGGUCCUCUCUUCGUAGGCUAAUGCAUUGGCCCUUUUUGACCCGUUUUGGGGCGAAAACAAAAACUGACUCCCGGGCAUAUUUUUUUCGGCCUUUAUGGGCAGAGAACUUUAAUACCGCUCAAAAUGAGGCCACCCAGUAGUUAGGUGUGAAUUUUCGAGACCUUUGGCACCGUUCUAAGAUGGGUCCUCUCUUCGUAGGCUAAUGCAUUGGCCCUUUUUGACCCGUUUUGGGGCGAAAACAAAAACUGACUCCCGGGCAUAUUUUUUUCGGCCUUUAUGGGCAGAGAACUUUAAUACCGCUCAAAAUGAGGCCACCCAGUAGUUAGGUGUGAAUUUUCGAGACCUUUGGCACCGUUCUAAGAUGGGUCCUCUCUUCGUAGGCUAAUGCAUUGGCCCUUUUUGACCCGUUUUGGGGCGAAAACAAAAACUGACUCCCGGGCAUAUUUUUUUCGGCCUUUAUGGGCAGAGAACUUUAAUACCGCUCAAAAUGAGGCCACCCAGUAGUUAGGUGUGAAUUUUCGAGACCUUUGGCACCGUUCUAAGAUGGGUCCUCUCUUCGUAGGCUAAUGCAUUGGCCCUUUUUGACCCGUUUUGGGGCGAAAACAAAAACUGACUCCCGGGCAUAUUUUUUUCGGCCUUUAUGGGCAGAGAACUUUAAUACCGCUCAAAAUGAGGCCACCCAGUAGUUAGGUGUGAAUUUUCGAGACCUUUGGCACCGUUCUAAGAUGGGUCCUCUCUUCGUAGGCUAAUGCAUUGGCCCUUUUUGACCCGUUUUGGGGCGAAAACAAAAACUGACUCCCGGGCAUAUUUUUUUCGGCCUUUAUGGGCAGAGAACUUUAAUACCGCUCAAAAUGAGGCCACCCAGUAGUUAGGUGUGAAUUUUCGAGACCUUUGGCACCGUUCUAAGAUGGGUCCUCUCUUCGUAGGCUAAUGCAUUGGCCCUUUUUGACCCGUUUUGGGGCGAAAACAAAAACUGACUCCCGGGCAUAUUUUUUUCGGCCUUUAUGGGCAGAGAACUUUAAUACCGCUCAAAAUGAGGCCACCCAGUAGUUAGGUGUGAAUUUUCGAGACCUUUGGCACCGUUCUAAGAUGGGUCCUCUCUUCGUAGGCUAAUGCAUUGGCCCUUUUUGACCCGUUUUGGGGCGAAAACAAAAACUGACUCCCGGGCAUAUUUUUUUCGGCCUUUAUGGGCAGAGAACUUUAAUACCGCUCAAAAUGAGGCCACCCAGUAGUUAGGUGUGAAUUUUCGAGACCUUUGGCACCGUUCUAAGAUGGGUCCUCUCUUCGUAGGCUAAUGCAUUGGCCCUUUUUGACCCGUUUUGGGGCGAAAACAAAAACUGACUCCCGGGCAUAUUUUUUUCGGCCUUUAUGGGCAGAGAACUUUAAUACCGCUCAAAAUGAGGCCACCCAGUAGUUAGGUGUGAAUUUUCGAGACCUUUGGCACCGUUCUAAGAUGGGUCCUCUCUUCGUAGGCUAAUGCAUUGGCCCUUUUUGACCCGUUUUGGGGCGAAAACAAAAACUGACUCCCGGGCAUAUUUUUUUCGGCCUUUAUGGGCAGAGAACUUUAAUACCGCUCAAAAUGAGGCCACCCAGUAGUUAGGUGUGAAUUUUCGAGACCUUUGGCACCGUUCUAAGAUGGGUCCUCUCUUCGUAGGCUAAUGCAUUGGCCCUUUUUGACCCGUUUUGGGGCGAAAACAAAAACUGACUCCCGGGCAUAUUUUUUUCGGCCUUUAUGGGCAGAGAACUUUAAUACCGCUCAAAAUGAGGCCACCCAGUAGUUAGGUGUGAAUUUUCGAGACCUUUGGCACCGUUCUAAGAUGGGUCCUCUCUUCGUAGGCUAAUGCAUUGGCCCUUUUUGACCCGUUUUGGGGCGAAAACAAAAACUGACUCCCGGGCAUAUUUUUUUCGGCCUUUAUGGGCAGAGAACUUUAAUACCGCUCAAAAUGAGGCCACCCAGUAGUUAGGUGUGAAUUUUCGAGACCUUUGGCACCGUUCUAAGAUGGGUCCUCUCUUCGUAGGCUAAUGCAUUGGCCCUUUUUGACCCGUUUUGGGGCGAAAACAAAAACUGACUCCCGGGCAUAUUUUUUUCGGCCUUUAUGGGCAGAGAACUUUAAUACCGCUCAAAAUGAGGCCACCCAGUAGUUAGGUGUGAAUUUUCGAGACCUUUGGCACCGUUCUAAGAUGGGUCCUCUCUUCGUAGGCUAAUGCAUUGGCCCUUUUUGACCCGUUUUGGGGCGAAAACAAAAACUGACUCCCGGGCAUAUUUUUUUCGGCCUUUAUGGGCAGAGAACUUUAAUACCGCUCAAAAUGAGGCCACCCAGUAGUUAGGUGUGAAUUUUCGAGACCUUUGGCACCGUUCUAAGAUGGGUCCUCUCUUCGUAGGCUAAUGCAUUGGCCCUUUUUGACCCGUUUUGGGGCGAAAACAAAAACUGACUCCCGGGCAUAUUUUUUUCGGCCUUUAUGGGCAGAGAACUUUAAUACCGCUCAAAAUGAGGCCACCCAGUAGUUAGGUGUGAAUUUUCGAGACCUUUGGCACCGUUCUAAGAUGGGUCCUCUCUUCGUAGGCUAAUGCAUUGGCCCUUUUUGACCCGUUUUGGGGCGAAAACAAAAACUGACUCCCGGGCAUAUUUUUUUCGGCCUUUAUGGGCAGAGAACUUUAAUACCGCUCAAAAUGAGGCCACCCAGUAGUUAGGUGUGAAUUUUCGAGACCUUUGGCACCGUUCUAAGAUGGGUCCUCUCUUCGUAGGCUAAUGCAUUGGCCCUUUUUGACCCGUUUUGGGGCGAAAACAAAAACUGACUCCCGGGCAUAUUUUUUUCGGCCUUUAUGGGCAGAGAACUUUAAUACCGCUCAAAAUGAGGCCACCCAGUAGUUAGGUGUGAAUUUUCGAGACCUUUGGCACCGUUCUAAGAUGGGUCCUCUCUUCGUAGGCUAAUGCAUUGGCCCUUUUUGACCCGUUUUGGGGCGAAAACAAAAACUGACUCCCGGGCAUAUUUUUUUCGGCCUUUAUGGGCAGAGAACUUUAAUACCGCUCAAAAUGAGGCCACCCAGUAGUUAGGUGUGAAUUUUCGAGACCUUUGGCACCGUUCUAAGAUGGGUCCUCUCUUCGUAGGCUAAUGCAUUGGCCCUUUUUGACCCGUUUUGGGGCGAAAACAAAAACUGACUCCCGGGCAUAUUUUUUUCGGCCUUUAUGGGCAGAGAACUUUAAUACCGCUCAAAAUGAGGCCACCCAGUAGUUAGGUGUGAAUUUUCGAGACCUUUGGCACCGUUCUAAGAUGGGUCCUCUCUUCGUAGGCUAAUGCAUUGGCCCUUUUUGACCCGUUUUGGGGCGAAAACAAAAACUGACUCCCGGGCAUAUUUUUUUCGGCCUUUAUGGGCAGAGAACUUUAAUACCGCUCAAAAUGAGGCCACCCAGUAGUUAGGUGUGAAUUUUCGAGACCUUUGGCACCGUUCUAAGAUGGGUCCUCUCUUCGUAGGCUAAUGCAUUGGCCCUUUUUGACCCGUUUUGGGGCGAAAACAAAAACUGACUCCCGGGCAUAUUUUUUUCGGCCUUUAUGGGCAGAGAACUUUAAUACCGCUCAAAAUGAGGCCACCCAGUAGUUAGGUGUGAAUUUUCGAGACCUUUGGCACCGUUCUAAGAUGGGUCCUCUCUUCGUAGGCUAAUGCAUUGGCCCUUUUUGACCCGUUUUGGGGCGAAAACAAAAACUGACUCCCGGGCAUAUUUUUUUCGGCCUUUAUGGGCAGAGAACUUUAAUACCGCUCAAAAUGAGGCCACCCAGUAGUUAGGUGUGAAUUUUCGAGACCUUUGGCACCGUUCUAAGAUGGGUCCUCUCUUCGUAGGCUAAUGCAUUGGCCCUUUUUGACCCGUUUUGGGGCGAAAACAAAAACUGACUCCCGGGCAUAUUUUUUUCGGCCUUUAUGGGCAGAGAACUUUAAUACCGCUCAAAAUGAGGCCACCCAGUAGUUAGGUGUGAAUUUUCGAGACCUUUGGCACCGUUCUAAGAUGGGUCCUCUCUUCGUAGGCUAAUGCAUUGGCCCUUUUUGACCCGUUUUGGGGCGAAAACAAAAACUGACUCCCGGGCAUAUUUUUUUCGGCCUUUAUGGGCAGAGAACUUUAAUACCGCUCAAAAUGAGGCCACCCAGUAGUUAGGUGUGAAUUUUCGAGACCUUUGGCACCGUUCUAAGAUGGGUCCUCUCUUCGUAGGCUAAUGCAUUGGCCCUUUUUGACCCGUUUUGGGGCGAAAACAAAAACUGACUCCCGGGCAUAUUUUUUUCGGCCUUUAUGGGCAGAGAACUUUAAUACCGCUCAAAAUGAGGCCACCCAGUAGUUAGGUGUGAAUUUUCGAGACCUUUGGCACCGUUCUAAGAUGGGUCCUCUCUUCGUAGGCUAAUGCAUUGGCCCUUUUUGACCCGUUUUGGGGCGAAAACAAAAACUGACUCCCGGGCAUAUUUUUUUCGGCCUUUAUGGGCAGAGAACUUUAAUACCGCUCAAAAUGAGGCCACCCAGUAGUUAGGUGUGAAUUUUCGAGACCUUUGGCACCGUUCUAAGAUGGGUCCUCUCUUCGUAGGCUAAUGCAUUGGCCCUUUUUGACCCGUUUUGGGGCGAAAACAAAAACUGACUCCCGGGCAUAUUUUUUUCGGCCUUUAUGGGCAGAGAACUUUAAUACCGCUCAAAAUGAGGCCACCCAGUAGUUAGGUGUGAAUUUUCGAGACCUUUGGCACCGUUCUAAGAUGGGUCCUCUCUUCGUAGGCUAAUGCAUUGGCCCUUUUUGACCCGUUUUGGGGCGAAAACAAAAACUGACUCCCGGGCAUAUUUUUUUCGGCCUUUAUGGGCAGAGAACUUUAAUACCGCUCAAAAUGAGGCCACCCAGUAGUUAGGUGUGAAUUUUCGAGACCUUUGGCACCGUUCUAAGAUGGGUCCUCUCUUCGUAGGCUAAUGCAUUGGCCCUUUUUGACCCGUUUUGGGGCGAAAACAAAAACUGACUCCCGGGCAUAUUUUUUUCGGCCUUUAUGGGCAGAGAACUUUAAUACCGCUCAAAAUGAGGCCACCCAGUAGUUAGGUGUGAAUUUUCGAGACCUUUGGCACCGUUCUAAGAUGGGUCCUCUCUUCGUAGGCUAAUGCAUUGGCCCUUUUUGACCCGUUUUGGGGCGAAAACAAAAACUGACUCCCGGGCAUAUUUUUUUCGGCCUUUAUGGGCAGAGAACUUUAAUACCGCUCAAAAUGAGGCCACCCAGUAGUUAGGUGUGAAUUUUCGAGACCUUUGGCACCGUUCUAAGAUGGGUCCUCUCUUCGUAGGCUAAUGCAUUGGCCCUUUUUGACCCGUUUUGGGGCGAAAACAAAAACUGACUCCCGGGCAUAUUUUUUUCGGCCUUUAUGGGCAGAGAACUUUAAUACCGCUCAAAAUGAGGCCACCCAGUAGUUAGGUGUGAAUUUUCGAGACCUUUGGCACCGUUCUAAGAUGGGUCCUCUCUUCGUAGGCUAAUGCAUUGGCCCUUUUUGACCCGUUUUGGGGCGAAAACAAAAACUGACUCCCGGGCAUAUUUUUUUCGGCCUUUAUGGGCAGAGAACUUUAAUACCGCUCAAAAUGAGGCCACCCAGUAGUUAGGUGUGAAUUUUCGAGACCUUUGGCACCGUUCUAAGAUGGGUCCUCUCUUCGUAGGCUAAUGCAUUGGCCCUUUUUGACCCGUUUUGGGGCGAAAACAAAAACUGACUCCCGGGCAUAUUUUUUUCGGCCUUUAUGGGCAGAGAACUUUAAUACCGCUCAAAAUGAGGCCACCCAGUAGUUAGGUGUGAAUUUUCGAGACCUUUGGCACCGUUCUAAGAUGGGUCCUCUCUUCGUAGGCUAAUGCAUUGGCCCUUUUUGACCCGUUUUGGGGCGAAAACAAAAACUGACUCCCGGGCAUAUUUUUUUCGGCCUUUAUGGGCAGAGAACUUUAAUACCGCUCAAAAUGAGGCCACCCAGUAGUUAGGUGUGAAUUUUCGAGACCUUUGGCACCGUUCUAAGAUGGGUCCUCUCUUCGUAGGCUAAUGCAUUGGCCCUUUUUGACCCGUUUUGGGGCGAAAACAAAAACUGACUCCCGGGCAUAUUUUUUUCGGCCUUUAUGGGCAGAGAACUUUAAUACCGCUCAAAAUGAGGCCACCCAGUAGUUAGGUGUGAAUUUUCGAGACCUUUGGCACCGUUCUAAGAUGGGUCCUCUCUUCGUAGGCUAAUGCAUUGGCCCUUUUUGACCCGUUUUGGGGCGAAAACAAAAACUGACUCCCGGGCAUAUUUUUUUCGGCCUUUAUGGGCAGAGAACUUUAAUACCGCUCAAAAUGAGGCCACCCAGUAGUUAGGUGUGAAUUUUCGAGACCUUUGGCACCGUUCUAAGAUGGGUCCUCUCUUCGUAGGCUAAUGCAUUGGCCCUUUUUGACCCGUUUUGGGGCGAAAACAAAAACUGACUCCCGGGCAUAUUUUUUUCGGCCUUUAUGGGCAGAGAACUUUAAUACCGCUCAAAAUGAGGCCACCCAGUAGUUAGGUGUGAAUUUUCGAGACCUUUGGCACCGUUCUAAGAUGGGUCCUCUCUUCGUAGGCUAAUGCAUUGGCCCUUUUUGACCCGUUUUGGGGCGAAAACAAAAACUGACUCCCGGGCAUAUUUUUUUCGGCCUUUAUGGGCAGAGAACUUUAAUACCGCUCAAAAUGAGGCCACCCAGUAGUUAGGUGUGAAUUUUCGAGACCUUUGGCACCGUUCUAAGAUGGGUCCUCUCUUCGUAGGCUAAUGCAUUGGCCCUUUUUGACCCGUUUUGGGGCGAAAACAAAAACUGACUCCCGGGCAUAUUUUUUUCGGCCUUUAUGGGCAGAGAACUUUAAUACCGCUCAAAAUGAGGCCACCCAGUAGUUAGGUGUGAAUUUUCGAGACCUUUGGCACCGUUCUAAGAUGGGUCCUCUCUUCGUAGGCUAAUGCAUUGGCCCUUUUUGACCCGUUUUGGGGCGAAAACAAAAACUGACUCCCGGGCAUAUUUUUUUCGGCCUUUAUGGGCAGAGAACUUUAAUACCGCUCAAAAUGAGGCCACCCAGUAGUUAGGUGUGAAUUUUCGAGACCUUUGGCACCGUUCUAAGAUGGGUCCUCUCUUCGUAGGCUAAUGCAUUGGCCCUUUUUGACCCGUUUUGGGGCGAAAACAAAAACUGACUCCCGGGCAUAUUUUUUUCGGCCUUUAUGGGCAGAGAACUUUAAUACCGCUCAAAAUGAGGCCACCCAGUAGUUAGGUGUGAAUUUUCGAGACCUUUGGCACCGUUCUAAGAUGGGUCCUCUCUUCGUAGGCUAAUGCAUUGGCCCUUUUUGACCCGUUUUGGGGCGAAAACAAAAACUGACUCCCGGGCAUAUUUUUUUCGGCCUUUAUGGGCAGAGAACUUUAAUACCGCUCAAAAUGAGGCCACCCAGUAGUUAGGUGUGAAUUUUCGAGACCUUUGGCACCGUUCUAAGAUGGGUCCUCUCUUCGUAGGCUAAUGCAUUGGCCCUUUUUGACCCGUUUUGGGGCGAAAACAAAAACUGACUCCCGGGCAUAUUUUUUUCGGCCUUUAUGGGCAGAGAACUUUAAUACCGCUCAAAAUGAGGCCACCCAGUAGUUAGGUGUGAAUUUUCGAGACCUUUGGCACCGUUCUAAGAUGGGUCCUCUCUUCGUAGGCUAAUGCAUUGGCCCUUUUUGACCCGUUUUGGGGCGAAAACAAAAACUGACUCCCGGGCAUAUUUUUUUCGGCCUUUAUGGGCAGAGAACUUUAAUACCGCUCAAAAUGAGGCCACCCAGUAGUUAGGUGUGAAUUUUCGAGACCUUUGGCACCGUUCUAAGAUGGGUCCUCUCUUCGUAGGCUAAUGCAUUGGCCCUUUUUGACCCGUUUUGGGGCGAAAACAAAAACUGACUCCCGGGCAUAUUUUUUUCGGCCUUUAUGGGCAGAGAACUUUAAUACCGCUCAAAAUGAGGCCACCCAGUAGUUAGGUGUGAAUUUUCGAGACCUUUGGCACCGUUCUAAGAUGGGUCCUCUCUUCGUAGGCUAAUGCAUUGGCCCUUUUUGACCCGUUUUGGGGCGAAAACAAAAACUGACUCCCGGGCAUAUUUUUUUCGGCCUUUAUGGGCAGAGAACUUUAAUACCGCUCAAAAUGAGGCCACCCAGUAGUUAGGUGUGAAUUUUCGAGACCUUUGGCACCGUUCUAAGAUGGGUCCUCUCUUCGUAGGCUAAUGCAUUGGCCCUUUUUGACCCGUUUUGGGGCGAAAACAAAAACUGACUCCCGGGCAUAUUUUUUUCGGCCUUUAUGGGCAGAGAACUUUAAUACCGCUCAAAAUGAGGCCACCCAGUAGUUAGGUGUGAAUUUUCGAGACCUUUGGCACCGUUCUAAGAUGGGUCCUCUCUUCGUAGGCUAAUGCAUUGGCCCUUUUUGACCCGUUUUGGGGCGAAAACAAAAACUGACUCCCGGGCAUAUUUUUUUCGGCCUUUAUGGGCAGAGAACUUUAAUACCGCUCAAAAUGAGGCCACCCAGUAGUUAGGUGUGAAUUUUCGAGACCUUUGGCACCGUUCUAAGAUGGGUCCUCUCUUCGUAGGCUAAUGCAUUGGCCCUUUUUGACCCGUUUUGGGGCGAAAACAAAAACUGACUCCCGGGCAUAUUUUUUUCGGCCUUUAUGGGCAGAGAACUUUAAUACCGCUCAAAAUGAGGCCACCCAGUAGUUAGGUGUGAAUUUUCGAGACCUUUGGCACCGUUCUAAGAUGGGUCCUCUCUUCGUAGGCUAAUGCAUUGGCCCUUUUUGACCCGUUUUGGGGCGAAAACAAAAACUGACUCCCGGGCAUAUUUUUUUCGGCCUUUAUGGGCAGAGAACUUUAAUACCGCUCAAAAUGAGGCCACCCAGUAGUUAGGUGUGAAUUUUCGAGACCUUUGGCACCGUUCUAAGAUGGGUCCUCUCUUCGUAGGCUAAUGCAUUGGCCCUUUUUGACCCGUUUUGGGGCGAAAACAAAAACUGACUCCCGGGCAUAUUUUUUUCGGCCUUUAUGGGCAGAGAACUUUAAUACCGCUCAAAAUGAGGCCACCCAGUAGUUAGGUGUGAAUUUUCGAGACCUUUGGCACCGUUCUAAGAUGGGUCCUCUCUUCGUAGGCUAAUGCAUUGGCCCUUUUUGACCCGUUUUGGGGCGAAAACAAAAACUGACUCCCGGGCAUAUUUUUUUCGGCCUUUAUGGGCAGAGAACUUUAAUACCGCUCAAAAUGAGGCCACCCAGUAGUUAGGUGUGAAUUUUCGAGACCUUUGGCACCGUUCUAAGAUGGGUCCUCUCUUCGUAGGCUAAUGCAUUGGCCCUUUUUGACCCGUUUUGGGGCGAAAACAAAAACUGACUCCCGGGCAUAUUUUUUUCGGCCUUUAUGGGCAGAGAACUUUAAUACCGCUCAAAAUGAGGCCACCCAGUAGUUAGGUGUGAAUUUUCGAGACCUUUGGCACCGUUCUAAGAUGGGUCCUCUCUUCGUAGGCUAAUGCAUUGGCCCUUUUUGACCCGUUUUGGGCGAAAACAAAAACUGACUCCCGGGCAUAUUUUUUUCGGCCUUUAUGGGCAGAGAACUUUAAUACCGCUCAAAAUGAGGCCACCCAGUAGUUAGGUGUGAAUUUUCGAGACCUUUGGCACCGUUCUAAGAUGGGUCCUCUCUUCGUAGGCUAAUGCAUUGGCCCUUUUUGACCCGUUUUGGGGCGAAAACAAAAACUGACUCCCGGGCAUAUUUUUUUCGGCCUUUAUGGGCAGAGAACUUUAAUACCGCUCAAAAUGAGGCCACCCAGUAGUUAGGUGUGAAUUUUCGAGACCUUUGGCACCGUUCUAAGAUGGGUCCUCUCUUCGUAGGCAUUGGCCCUUUUUCCCGUUUUGACGAAAACAAAAACUGACUCCCGGGCAUUUUUUUCGGCCUUUAUGGGCAGAGAACUUUAAUACCGCUCGGCAGAGACCCUUUUUGGUGUGAAUUUUCGAGACCUUUGGCACCGUUCUAAGAUGU